rnacentral:lncRNA from 1 species
UCAUGUGGCCGACCGUUAACCAAUGCCAUGAAGAAACACAACAAACAGAAUCAUAUGCUUUGAUCAUAGCAAUGUGAACAAUGUAAUCCUUCCAACUUUGAACAUUAUAAAGAGCAGUGCUUAAACAAUCAUGGCUACAGAAUCAGAGACCAUGAUCAAUGAGAACCAUUUGCUGAUCAGCUUGGGAUUACAGUUGAAGCCCACAUACCUCCUCAGCUGCCAGUCCAAGGUGAAAAACGAUAUGCGGCUUUGAAGGGUGAGCUAUUGGUUACUCUUGUCUCCCUUGGUCCCUCCGAUAACCGCUCCUGCAAACCAAGCCCAUUCCCUUCUCUCCAAGACCUUUCUGUUCAUCAUCUACGUGAGCCAAACAGUUGGGGUUGUGCAGAUUCUGUUAGUAUUCAACCAAGAAGAAUACCCUGAUUUCAUAUAUACUGGAAUAGUUAACUGGGUGAAUACCCUAACUACAUAUGUACUGGAAUAUUUAAUAGGGUGAAUACCCUAACUACAUAUGUACUGGAAUAUUUAACAGGGUGAAUACCCUAACUGCAUAUAUACACUGGAAUCUCCUGAUUAAAAACAAUGAGUAGAAAAAUAAUAGCGGAAGCAUACCUGAAUCCAUUGAAGGAGAAACCUUAUAGAAAAAAAAAAAAAACCCUUUGAGAUGGUCUUCCAAUUCUAGCCACUAGAUUCUGUGUCAAUUUCUCUCUGAGAGGAUUUUCAGAAAUUGGAAUGCGUAGUCGUAGAAUGGGGACCAUAACCCUAUUUAUAAACCGCUAGGGCAGUUUUAAUUUUAUCACAAUUAUAUUUCUGCCCCUCAUAGAAAUAAUAAUUGUCUAAUGGUAUCUACACAAUAAUCUCAUGACAAUUAUACCCUUAAGCCAAUUAAUCAAUUAUUAAUUAGAUCACUAUAUUUAGGCUUAAUUAAAUGAUAGCACACACAUUUUAAUUAUUUACAUGUGUGGCCCAAAUUAUAGAUUAAUUACAAAAAUUAAUCUAACAAUCUCCCACUGGGCCACAUGCAUAUGUAAUCAAAUAAAUGUGUUUAACCUUAUGAGCUCAAAAUUUGCUAUCAUGUCCUUAGGGUAUAUCCGAACAAUCUCGUCCAUUAACUAUAUUGACAUAGGAUCAAGGUGGCCUUUGUUACAUCAAUCGUUACUAGACCAAUCAAUGGUCACGUAUAUCUGCACAGCUAAAUGACAUAGAUCAAUCAUGAGUGCAUAGCAUGGAAACUACAUGCAAUGUGAUCUAUUCAUGCCUAUUUCCAACUGGUCCAACUUAACUUUAUUGAGAUCAAAUCUUUAGCAUAAUUUAACAGAGUGCAAUAAAAUGAAUACUUUAUUUCUGCAGAACACAAUCCAAAUGUAUAGAUAAAGUCUAAACAUAACAUAGAGCAAUAUACAAUGAAUAAUACAAACUCCCACUAAAUUUGGAUAUCCUCAAAUGAGACAACACCCAUAUGAGCAGUGUGCUCAUGAAAGACCUUGGGUGGUAAUCCCUUUGUAAGCGGAUCCGCUAUCAUGGAGUUUGUUCCAAUAUGCUCUAUGGAUAUCUGUCCACUCUGUACUUUUUCUUUUACAACAAGGAACUUGAUAUCAAUGUAUUUUGAUUUUGUAGAACUCCUGUUGUUAUUGGAAUAUAAAACUGCUGAUUUAUUGUCACAAAAUAUCUUCAGUGGUCUUUCAAUACCAUCCAGAACAUGCAGCCCAGUGACAAAAUUUCGUAGCCAUAUUCCUUGAUUGGAUGCCUCAUAACAUGCUACAAACUCCGCUUCCAUGGUGGAUGAAGUUACGAGUGUCUGUUUGGCAGACCUCCAUGAAAUUGCUCCACCAGCCAACAGAUAAAUAUAGCCUGAUGUGGAUCUUCUGCUGUCUUGGCAUCCAGCAAAGUCGGAGUCGGAAUACCCAAUCAACUCUAACUGAUCCAAUCUCCUAUAUGUAAGCAUGUACUCUUUUGUUCUCUGUAAAUAUCUCAUAACCCUCUUGGCUGCUCUCCAAUGAUCCAUUCCAGGGUUACUUAGAUAUCUGCCUAACAUGCCAACAAUGUACGCAAUAUCCGGACGUGUACAUACCUGAGCAUACAUUAGACUCCCCACAGCCGAAGCGUAAGGAAUCUUCUGCAUUUCUUGACUUUCUAAACUAUUUUUAGGGCAUUGAUUAAGACUGAAUUUGUCUCCUUUAGCGACAGGGGUAUCACCUGGUUUGCUAUUUUGCAUGCCAUACCUUUGGAGGACUUUAUCAAUAUAGGUCCUUUGUGACAAUCCUAAAAUACCCCUAGAACGAUCUCGGUGUAUCUGGAUUCCUAAGACAAAGGAGGCAUCACCAAGAUCUUUCAUCUCAAAAUGUUUUGAUAAAAAUCUCUUAGUGUCGUGCAAUAUGCUAAUAUCAUUUGUGGCUAGCAAUAUGUCAUCGACAUAUAAAACCAGGAAAAUAUACUUACUCCCACUGAAUUUGUGAUACACACAUUCAUCCAUAAGAUUUGCCUCAAAACCAUAUGAGACAAUAAUUUGAUGAAACUUGAAGUACCACUGACGAGAAGCUUGCUUGAGCCCAUAAAUGGAUUUAGUCAAUUUACAAACCAUAUUCUUUGAGUCUUCGGACACAAAAUUUUCUGGUUGUACCAUAUAAAUUGUUUCAUCAAUGUCACCAUUGAGAAACGCUGUUUUAACAUCCAUUUGAUGUAACUCAAGAUCAUAAUGUGCAACUAGUGCCAUGAUUAUCCUGAAAGAGUCCUUCGUAGAAACUGGAGAGAAGGUCUCUUUGAAGUCAAUUCCUUCUUUUUGAGUAAAGCCUUUAGCUACAAGACGUGCUUUAUAUCUUUCUACAUUACCAUUUGAAUCCCGCUUGGUUUUAAAUAUCCAUUUACAACCAAUGGGUUUCGUACCAACUGGUAAUGGGACAAGUUCCCAAACUUUAUUGUCUUGCAUAGAUUUGUACUCUUCAUUCAUGGCUUCAAUCCAUUUCUGAGAGUUGGAACUUUUCAUGGCUUGCUGGAAGUUGAUUGGAUCAUCUUCCAUCAUUCCACUUUCUACCUCACGUUCCUGGAGAUAUACGAUAUAAUCGUCCGAAAUUGCAUUUCUCCUCUCUCUAGUGGAUCUCCUUAAUGACAUAUUUUCUUGAGGUUGUUGAGUUUGUUCUUCAGGAGCAAUGUCCUCAUUUGCAAUUAAGGGUUGAACAAUAUUGUCUGUUGGUUGAGGAUCCAAAUUUACUUCUUGAUCAAUGAUAGGUAGUGAAACCUGUACAUUAUCAAAAGCAAUAGUAGAUCCCUCUUCCUCCUCAAAGACAAUAUUCCUAGCCUGAUUUCUCCCCCCAAACUCAACAUCCUCAAAAAAUGUUGCAGUUCCCGUCUCAAAAAAUUGACCUAAUAGCAGGAUCAUAAAAUUUAAAACCCCUUGAUCGCUCUGCAUAGCCAAUAAAGUAGCUGCUAACUGUUUUAGAGUCCAAUUUCUUUUCAUGAGGCUUAUAAGGUCUCGCUUCAGCUGGACAUCCCCAAAUAUGAAAAUGCUUUAAACUGGGCUUUCGACCCGUCCAAAGCUCAUAAGGCGUUUUAGCAGCCGCUUUAGUUGGCACCCGAUUUAGGAUAUAAGCUGUCGUUUUGAGUGCUUCACCCCAGAGUUUUUCGGGUAAAGUAGAAUGACUAAUCAUACUCCUUACCAUGUCCUUAAGGGUUCGGUUUCGUCUUUCUGCUACACCAUUCAUGCUAGGUGAUCCUGGCAUGGUGUAUUGAGGGACGAUCCCACAUUCCUCUAGGUAUUUAGCAAAUGGUCCUGGAUGUUGUUCACCUGAUCCGUCAUAUCUACCAUAGUAUUCACCACCACGGUCAGAUCUGACGCUCUUUAUUCUUUUGUUGAGUUGUAACUCAACUUCUGCUUUAAAUGUUUUGAACACAUCCAAUGAUUGUGAUUUCUCAUGUAUAAGAAAUAGGUAGCCAUAUCUUGAGUAGUCGUCUAUGAAUGUUAUAAAGUACUGUUGACCAUUCCAAGAUGCCGUAGGGUAUGGUCCACAGAUAUCUGUAUGAAUUAAUUCUAAGACGUCUGUAGCUCUAUUGGCACCUAAUUUCUUUGUUUUGGUCUGUUUUCCUUUAAUACACUCAACACAAAUAUCAAAAUCUGAAAAGUCAAGUGAAUCCAAAAUCCCAUCGGACACAAGUCGCUCAACUCUAGAUUUAGAGAUAUGACCUAGGCGUUUGUGCCACAAUGAGGCCGAAUUAUCUUUAUUCAAUUUACGUUUUGUACCUCGUGAUUCCACAUGCAAGGUUUCAUUAUAGGACGGAACAGUUUCCAACAAAUAUAGAUUAUCAUAAACAUUAAGUAAACCGGUUCCUACAACAUUUGAAUUAAUAGAUAAUGUAAAUUUAUUGUUUCCAAAUGAACAAUAAUAACCUGAUUUGUCCAAAACAGAAACUGAAAUUAAAUUCCGUCUGAAAGACGGUACAAUAAAAGUAUCUAUUAAAUCCAAAAAAAUAACCAGAUUUCAAUAAUAAUCUAAAGUGCCCUAUUGCCUCUACUUCUACCGACUGACCGUCUCCGACAUAGAUGCAUCUUUCAGCAUCACUUGGUUUUCGGUAACUCAGGCAACCCUGCAUAGAAGCACAAAUGUGAGUAGUAGCACCAGAAUCUAACCACCAUGUGUUUCUAGAUACUGAAGCUAAAUUAACUUCAGAACAGACCAAAGUAAGAAACAUACCUUUCUUAACACGCCAAGCAGCAUACUUGGUACAUUCCUUCUUAGUAUGUCCAGGCUUAUUACAGAAGAAACAUGUUACCUCAACUUUCUGUUUCUUUUGUUCUGGACCAUUAGAAGCAGCAACCUUAUUAUCCUUAUUUUUUCGUUUGCCCUUAUCCUUCGAAAUGCUAGCCAGAUGAGCACUUUCGGUCUUGUCUUGCUUCAAUCUCUCUUCCUCUUGCACACAGAAUGAAAUGAGCUCAUUAAGAGUCCAUUUAUCCUUUUGACAAUUAUAACUGACCUUGAAUUGAUUAAAUUGUGCAGGAAGAGAGAUGAGAACCAAAUGCACGAGUAAAUCAUCAGAUAACUCGAGUUUCAAAGCCUUAAGUUUUGAAGCAAGAUGAGACAUCUCCAUGAUGUACUCCCGAACAUUACCCUUGCCUUUAUACUUCAUUGAAAUCAAGCUUGCUAAAAGCGUGCUCGUUUCAGCCUUAUCGUUUUUUGGCAAAACGUUUCUGAAUUUCCGCAAGGAAGUCACUGGCAUUAGUAACCUCAUCGGUUACCGCACCCCUGAAAGCUUCUGGAAUGCCGCGCUUCAUGAUCAUAAGACUUAGCCUAUUUGAACGUUCCCACUUACCCCAAUAAACCUCAUCCUCUUGAGUACUUUGCUCAUUGAGUUCAUCGGGUUUGGGCAUUCUCAAAGCCAAGUCUAUAUCCAUGCAGCCUAAGAGAAUCAUCAUAUUCUCUUUCCAGUCCUUAAAAUUAGUCCCAUUUAACAUAGGGACAUUAUUGAUGUUGGCAGAUAUAGAAGUAGUUGAUAUAAAAGCUGAAUCCAGAACAAAAUAAAAUGAAUCAAAUAAACCAUCAUGCUCACAUAAAAUAAGCAAUUAAACACAUAAUCUUUAAAUUUAAAAGCAAAUUAUGACAUUUCAAGAUACCUAGCACAACAUUAAUAUCAAGUCUUUGGACAGUAAUAUUAAUUGUAAGUGGUACUCUUGUUGUAGUGAUCAAACAUUGAUGAUAAGUUAUGUCAAAUAAUAAAUCUAUCUUUGGAUUGAUUUAUUAUUUACAUUAAGUUACCUUUAUAAUCAUCACAUAUUUAUCACCACAAGUAUGUAUGCAAUUUGACCAAAUAUUAACUUUCCUUUGGGCCAAUCAAUACCCGCAUGAAUCACAUACACACAAAUAUCUAACACCCCGAACAGACUAAUCUACACGGAAGAUGUCACUUUGGUGAUUUUCCGCUUUAAUUAGCCUAUUUAAAAUGCUAGAUCAAUAACUUAAAUAUUAAUAUCAUAAAAUGCUAUUAAAUAAUAAUAAUAAUAAUAAUAAUAAUAAUAAUAAUAAUAAUUUUAAUAAAAAAAAAUUUAUCAACUCAAUAUUUCAUAAAUAUUAAUCCAUUGACAUAUAUUAAAAUAAUAACUCAAAGAAUUAAUCAAGGAGUAGGCUCUGAUACCACUUGUUAGUAUUCAACCAAGAAGAAUACCCUGAUUUCAUAUAUACUGGAAUAGUUAACUGGGUGAAUACCCUAACUACAUAUGUACUGGAAUAUUUAAUAGGGUGAAUACCCUAACUACAUAUGUACUGGAAUAUUUAACAGGGUGAAUACCCUAACUGCAUAUAUACACUGGAAUCUCCUGAUUAAAAACAAUGAGUAGAAAAAUAAUAGCGGAAGCAUACCUGAAUCCAUUGAAGGAGAAACCUUAUAGAAAAAAAAAAAAAACCCUUUGAGAUGGUCUUCCAAUUCUAGCCACUAGAUUCUGUGUCAAUUUCUCUUUGAGAGGAUUUUCAGAAAUUGGAAUGCGUAGUCGUAGAAUGGGGACCAUAACCCUAUUUAUAAACCGCUAGGGCAGUUUUAAUUUUAUCACAAUUAUAUUUCUGCCCCUCAUAGAAAUAAUAAUUGUCUAAUGGUAUCUACACAAUAAUCUCAUGACAAUUAUACCCUUAAGCCAAUUAAUCAAUUAUUAAUUAGAUCACUAUAUUUAGGCUUAAUUAAAUGAUAGCACACACAUUUUAAUUAUUUACAUGUGUGGCCCAAAUUAUAGAUUAAUUACAAAAAUUAAUCUAACAGAUUCUGCUCUCAAUGGUCCUCCAUCAACUGACCAGAUUAGUUUUCAUGGCCACUUCUCCUUGGUGCAAAAUUUCAAUAAAUUUAGUAUAAAAAAAAUCAGUAUGAAAGUUUUUAAUAAAAAGUGAUAUCAUCUUUUUAAGAGAUUAUUAAUAUAAAAAAAUAAAUUUAUCUUUUGAAAAUACGAGUAGAAUGAGACGUGUAAUUUUUUCAAUCAUCUAUUCAUCUAUUUUAAGUAACAGAGGAAUAUUUAAGCAGUGGUCCUUCAAUUCUACAGAUCUUAUCAGAAAAUAAUAAUGAUUAUAGUCAACGGCUCCGCUGGCAACAGGAAAUCAAAACCAAAUAAAUAAAUAAAUAAAAGCAUGGACCCUUCUGGAAAGGGAAUAAAAAGAAAGCAAUCAACCUUAAAAGGUCAACUUCAUUGUCAGGUGUUAGAAGUUUCCCGCGAGGCUUGGAGUUGUGUAAUUUGGUAGCGGCUGAUUAGGUCUAGAACCCAAAUCUUCGUUGACUGAUUUUAUAUAGUAUAUUCCGGAAAUGAGGUAGAAGGUGCCUUUUCUUUUGAAGUUUUAUAUCAUGGAUAUGGUUUGCAGAUCUAGUCACGUGGUCCUUUCCUCCCAUACCUAUGAAUGGAUUCAUUACACGGUAAUAGUAAUAGGAGAAUAUGAACAGAGUACAAAUGUAUUUACAAGAAUGGCAAAUGCCAAUAUGCCAUACAAAACCAGGAUAGGGAGGGAAUGAGAGUGAAUGGAGAGAGAGAGAGAGAAGGGAACAAAGAAUUGCACAAUGCAAUCCUCAGUCUAGAGACAAAUAGUUGAGUGCACUUUAGUCGAAGAUGACACUACUUUCAAUUAAAAGACUCUGACUUGGAUUUUUAGCUCGUACAUGGGUGACAGGAGUUGAACAACCCCAUAAUAAAAUAUUUCAAACAUCUUGACGCAAAUGUGGGCCACGCCGACUUCAAACAUCUUCAAGCAAAUGUGGGCACCGUGCGCGUCAAUCAUCGCUUCCCAAGUUCCCAACUACCUCCGAAGCAACACCCAAUUAGUUUCCUCGACAAUUUCCUAAGAAGACAGCCAAUUCGGCCUUUAAAUAUGAUCAUCAAACCAAGACGCCACAAUCAAAGAGAAGGAAAAAAAGAAAAAGGCAAUUAAGUUGAGAACCAUGGCUGCAGUUGAAGAACCAUUAGUCGAUCAGCUCAACAUAACAGUUGAAGAACCAUUGGUGGAUCAGCUCAACAUUGAAGCUCAUGCAACCCCCCCUCAACAGCUGGCUCCGGCUCAAGAUCAGAAGGCUGUUUUCAAGGCUGGGUUGUUCACAAGUCUCAUCUCCAUUGGAGGGAUUCUAUACCCUCCCAUAACUGCUACGGUAAACAAAACCCACAGCCUUCUCUCAAAGACGUUCCAUUUUAUGGUCUUUAUGAGCCUAGCAAUUGGGGUUUUGCAGAUUCUGCUCUCAACCGUCCUCCAUUGGCUGCCCGGAUUGACCAUCACAGCAAAAUCAUUGACCAAAAUAGGAUGGGCAUUACUGACAAUUGCAUUAGGGUAUGGGUCUUCUUUGGUUUUAAUGGUUUCUUCUUCUCCUUGGUUUGCCCUCCACCUAAUCUUUCUUUCCAUCCGAUUUAUGUAAAUGCGAAGACUCGGUACAAUAUUUUUAGGUAGGGGUAUUGGUUUUUUAAGGGUAUAGAUCCUCUUAUCUGUUCACUUCACAGGAUGGAUUUUGUAGAUGAAGUUAAUAGAGAAGGUUUUCCAAUUUUUUAGUACUCUAUAACUAUUUUCAAUGUUUUUUUAUGAUAUCAUCCAUAAUCGAACUGACGAUUCAAGCAGUUGGGAUUGCAUACAUCAACUAAUAAGCGGUCAAGCUCAGCCAGAGAUUAUUAAAAAUGAUAUUAGAAAAAAGAUUGCAUUCAUGAUGGCAAAGGAAAUUACUAAGAAAUUUCUGUAGAAAACAAAUCAGGAUUGGCUGCUUCCGGGCCCCUUCCAUAGAUGGAUCAUGGGGGGUCAAGAGGGCUUGACCUAACUCUUGUCAAAACUCUGCCAAACAGCAAAUUUUUGUGGAUUGAAUUCGCAAUAUUCUGCUUCUAUGGGGUAUAGGCUUUUGUCAAGAAGGCUGGACACAACAGAAGUCAAUCAUAUAGCAUUUUUGCUGAUUGGGCUCUCAUUGUUUUACUUUCAUUCUUCGAAAUUUUCUCCGUUGACUUCUCAUUUUGAGAUAUGGCUUUUGCUAUUGCUUUCAUCUUUCGGACAUUUUUUGAUCUCUUCAUUGUUACCCCUUUCUUCCUGUUACGGAAAAGAUUCACUUCAGACACAUAACAUAGGGCUCAAAUGGCAGUAGAUAUCAAGACAAAAUAAUAAUGAUAAAAACCAAGAACUUCGCACCAUCUGACAAGAGACAAGGAAAAAAUCAACUUGAAUAGAAUGAAGUACAUUAUUUAUUGUCAAGGGUUUGAAGCUUCCAGGGCCUUGGAUCAAGUGGUCAGGCUGGGGCCAAGUAGGGGUACACCUAGGGUUUAGACAAACUUUCUGAAGCCCUUUCACAUGUAGUGGCAAUAUUUUUUUUUUCCCUUUUUGUUUGUAUGUGUGUGUGUUUUAUGAAGAUUUAACUUUAAUUCUUAUAGAACAAAAAGGGAGAUGAAGUGGAAUUGCAGUUAUGUUUUCAUACCUCAAAUUUCCAUUAGUAGGAUCAUUAUGUAAAACAAAAAUUACAAGAAGUACACAAUAAUGUGCCUAGAAGAAUGCUCACAUGCUAUACAAGACCAGGAUAAAAUUAUACCAACCAAAGCUCUGUCCAGAUGACAGAUAAAUUUCAGAAAACACAGGGGGGGCAUCAAACAGCGGCUAUAGUAAGCAUAACAAAAACAAUACCUGGAACUCUUAACUCCUAUUUCCCCAUAUCUGAACAUGCCAUAAAAUGAGAACAAAGAAAAGUUUCUGAAGAAUAAUUCCUUUCAGUUCCAGUCCUUAGGCAUCAUCUCAUCCUAAAUCUUAGGAAGGGAUCAAAUAGGGGAGAAGGAACACCAGAUGUUGGUGGCAAAGAAAAGAUGGAAGACAAAGGUAAUCACCAUUUUUGCCAUUUUCUUUGCACAUGAGACACAGAAAAGCACCAUGGAUUUCCAAAUCAGAUUCAGCAGAAACAGCUUAUCCACAAUAACCGUCUAAGAGAUGGUUAUUGAAGCUGUUAGACACCCGUAGAGAAUGAAUUCAUAAUAAUGGGAAAAGAGCGAAAAGUGAUACACCAAAAAAUACCACACCUUAAACCUUCAUGCUAAAACCCAAUCUCAGCAUGUAUAAAAGAAAUUCCCAGUAGAGAGAACUCUAUGUCUUUUCCAUGAUAACUUUGUGGACAGUACAUAAAUCCCAAUACCUUGGUCUUCCACCAACAUAUGUAAGCCUUUCUAUGCCCAUGGAGAGGAUUAUAGCACGGCAACAAUCAUUCCAAGUUUGCAUUGGGACAACUGUUCUAAGCUUAGCGGCAAACAGUUGAAACAAGAUUUGGCAGACAACUAGUAAUGCUAAUGAAUCAAAAGGCCCCUAAUACCAAUUACUCUAGAUUUUUCCUGGAUUAGGAAUAUAAAUAUUGAAUUCACGGUUUCUGCAUAAUAUCUCGGCCAUGAACCUCCUUCAAAGCAAAGCAAUUAUGUCAAUUCUUACAAAUCACCAACACUUUCCAUGGAAUGCAACGGUAUAAGAAUCCAGACAAAGGCCCCACCAGUUCUCAAUUCAACUGGAGCUUUGAGAACAGCAAUUCAUUAAAGAAAUCUUCACCCAAUCCUCACACUCAUGCACAUAUGCAAACUCGCACCAUCUUAACAGCGGUGCUUACUACCUAUCACAAAACAAAUCUAACAGUGGUGCAUGCUGGUGGGCUUCAUAACAAAGCCAACAAACAGCCACCUUUGCCACACCUUCGUCAUCCUCAAACAAUUCAUAUCUAUCUUUAUUCAAUUAUUUUACUAACAAUUCCACUCUUUUUUCUUCCAUGCGGCGUAUGAAUUCAGCCCUCAGUCAAAUUUUUUUUCCAAAAGGACAUUACCUGGUAUAGUCCCCAUUACUGGGUUUCAGGGAUGGGUGGUCUGGGGACAGACUCAAUCUUCAGCAAUUCUCACCGUUAAUUCCCAAAAACAUGGGAAGAAAAUUCCUCUUUCCCUCUUAUACUACCUCCUGAUAAAACAUAACACAGUCUAGAACUCAUUUCAUAAAUAAACAAUUUUUAGGAACUUAUUCAAGGACCCAUCUUCCAAAAACUCAGACUAAGCCCACUUCUAUCAACAUCAUCUGCUUUCUAAACCCAAUCACUUCAGGAAAAGUUGACAAGCUCAAAUAAUUUGAUUUAAAAAAACACAUUAUUCAUAAAAAAUAAUAAUAAUAAUAAUAAUAAUAAUAAUAAUAAUAAUAAUAAUAAUAAAUAAGCUAACCUCUUAAUGGGAUCACCAGAAGCUGGAAAAUGCGUGGCAGUUGUAGCAACCGACUCUGACGUGUCCAUCGCUGCAUGUGAAGAGCGGACAAAUUUAGGGCUGGGAAAUUAUUUUCCGGGAAAAAAACAUUACGAAUCAGUAGUGAAAACGAAAAAAUAAAGAAAAGAAAAAAGUACAUUGUGGGACAUCUGUGAGAGUGGGCUCGGCGGUGUCCAUCGGCGCCACGCCGCUUCUCUUCUUCUUGUUUCUGUUCUUCGCCAUGACUCCGUGAAGGAGAAAAAUUCCAGGGUUGAGAGAGGUCGAUCUAGGGUUUAACCGGUGUCAAAGUCGGUCCCAUACGGACCCUACCUAUAAGGUCCACAGACUUAGGCCCAAACCCAAACUACUUACAGAUUGUAUAUUUGGCCCAAGCCCAAUAGGGUUCCCACCAGUAAAAAAAUUUAAAAAAGAAAACCAAAAAUACAGCACGAGGAUGUGGAAUUAAUUUCACAUUUUAAACCAAAAUACGAAGAAUUCAUUCAAUUUUUCAUUCACUAUCAUGUUCAUAUCAAUUUUUAAACCGACAUAUGAAUCAAGAAAUAGCCCGAUAAAAAUCAAAAUACGAUCUUAAUAAAAUUUUGAUCCUCUUCAAUUAAGCAAUAUUUUAUAUCCAUAGUCAAAUAUAACCUUCAAGGUUGUAUUUUAAUUUUUGAAUGGAGCCAAGUGAGUCUUAUUUCUUGUAUGAUACCAAAAAAUAAAAAAUAAAUGAAAAAUAAAUUAAACUUAUAAAAUAUUUAUUGUAUUUCUUUUGUUAUUUUUUUUAUAAAGAUAAUAUUUUGAAAAUAUAUAAGUAUUUAAAUCUUUCAUAUUUUUUUAACAAUAAAUAGAAAAACAAAAAGAGAGUUGAAUUUUUUAUUUUUAAUAAUAAAAUGACAUUUUCAAUUUGUCCAUGCCCUUUAAAAUUCAGAGUUCAAGGAUAGCAAAAUUUGGCACAAUUUGUUUAUACGACAUAAAAUGAAUUUGAUUUCAAUUGACCUAUUUAAUAAUUGUGUUAUUGUCCUAAUCAUGAUCAUAACUUGUUAAACUCACAUUUAACUAGUUUAAAAAUUGAUUUUGAAAAUAUAUGUCAACUAAACAUAUUAAAUGGAAAGGUUAAUAUUGAUUCAAAUAAUAUCUGACUUGAUAAAGAUUAUUAAGUAGAACUCGAUCAUUAACUAGUUAUACAACGUGUUACUUAUUAAUAAUUAGAUCGUGAGUUUUGACUUGACACAACCCAUGAAAUUUUGACUUGACACAACCCAUGAAAUUCCUUGAUCGUCUAGUCAAUCAAUGCAUUAACAUAUCUUAUUUAAAAUUAAUAAAUAAAAGUAUGCCUUAUCUAUCUUGAACUAUACUUCAUAAAUAAACAUUGGGACAUAAAGUACCAAUACACAUGGUGUGAACAUCACCUCAAACCCACGUCCUAAGCAUCUUGUCCCAUGUUCUUGUUGUUGUCAAUUGUUGUCAUUUUAGGCUAGGCCCACUCCCAAGGCCCAAUGUAUUUACCUUUACAUCUUCACAUACUUGUCAUGGAAUAAUUUCUAAUUUCUCACAAUGUCAUGUGGACUGCCCUACUACUCUCAAUAAUGGCCAAAUUGGAUGAGUCUCCCAUUGCCAAAAUCAGGGUAGUAGACAAACCAAACAACUUUUAUAUUUUCCCUACAAUCAUAGAUGGGCCCAAUGACUUGGUUGGUGAAAUGAAUCAUUUUGGGAAUGUAUUCUUAGUCCUCCCUGGUAAUUCUUACCUCUGAAGUUUGUCAAUAUCUCCUUAACUUCAAAGGGUUUCCAUGGGAUGAAAGAAGAUUAGUAAGCAGAUAGCUCAACUAAAGUAGUUGAUUUCUUGAAAUAACAAAAGAAGUAUUCUAUAAGUUUUCAAUACUUUUAGGUUCCUUGACACAAUUAUAACCUCUAAUGGAGUGCUUAUGUAGAAGUGCUUGUAAAGAGAUUUAUAAUUAAAAUAAUCCUUUAUUUUUUUAUUUUUUAAAAGGUGGCUCAUGAAAGGGUAUUAUAAUAUGUUAUGGAGGAUGAAGAGUUUGUUUUACAGUGAUUUUAGGAAACGCUUUCAUCUUAAAAAGUUAUUUGACAAAUUUUAAAAAAUAUUUAAAUUUUUUUUAAAAAUUACUUUUAGCAUGAAAAGAUCAUUUAUUUUAUGAAGAAAUAUCGUAAUUGAAAAAGUUAACUAAAAGAGGCACUUGAGUUUUGAAUCUCUUUUACAUUAAAGUAUUUUUUAAUUACACAUGUGUUAAAACUCUUUAUUAAAAAUAUGAAUUAUCGAAACAUAUGUGUUAAAACUCAUUUUUAUAAUAAAUAUUUUGUAAUUAUUUUAUUAUUUUUAAUAUAUUUAUUUAAUAGAUAAAUUUAUUAUUUAAAAUCAAAUAAAUUAAAUAUUAGUUAAAAUUAAUGAGGUAUGUCAAUUUAAUAAUUUAGAAAAAAAAAUUAAGUUACUAUUAAGCAAUUUUGAUAUCUCAUGUAAAAAUUCAAAAAAUAAGUUUUAAGUUAAUUAAAAUAUUCGAUAAAUCAAAUUAAUGACGAAAUAACUUAAUCUAAUUCAUCAAGUCGAGUGAGUAUAUUUGAAUAAAAUUUAAAAUAAAUUUAAAUAUUAACUUAAAACAAUUAAUUUAUUAUAAACCUCAAAUAUCUUUUUUUAAUUUUAGAAUUAAUGAUGGUAAAUAUGUUAAUUUAAUGAUUUAGGAAAAAAAUAAUUUAAGUUUAUUAAAUAGACUUAUUAAUUAAAAUAUAAAUGAAAUAUAAAAUAAUUUAACUUAAAAUUAAUUUAAAUCAUUAUUUCAAAAUAAAUAUGAAAUUUUAAUGAACACCAUUUUCAUAAUAAAUUUAUAGUGUGAACAUUAAAUCUAUGAGAAUACAACACAAAACAAUGAUGGCCCAUGUUUCCAUGGUACAUAUUGAUAGGGAUACUCAUUAUCUAUGAAGCAGGCUUUUGAAAAAGAAAGGCAACAGCUUUUGAUUAAAGGGAGGGCAAAAAAAAUGGGGGGACCCAUGUGUAGGGUACCCUAAAGUUUGAUUUAUGGUGGUGUUUGGUGAUGGGGUUGACUGUGUUGAUCAAUCAAACAGGGAACUUUCAGAGGUGUAAACUUUAGUAGCCCAGUUGGGAACCAAUUAAUAAAAUAAGCUGCAGAAGCUUCAUUUUCCUCAAAAAUGAUGGUCAAUGAUUAAAGGACAUCUUACCAAAUGAAAGGAAUUAGAACAGGGAUCCUAAAUUCUUGUUCAUGCCCAUUUGCCCUGUUUGGUUGAUGAGAAAAUGCAGGAAAAAAAAAUGGUUUUCAAAUAUUUUAGGUGAUGGUUGAUUUUCAGAAUUUCUUUUGAUAACUUCACAUUUUCUUACCUAUUUCCAUUAUUCUUUGUAAAAUUUAUAGUAUGUUUGAUUUUUAGAAAAUACAAAAAAUUGUUAAGAAAAAUAUUUUCCCAUAUUUUACUUUUAUUAUGAAAAAAAUCUUUAAAAACCCAUUGUGCAGUUUAAAAAAUUAAUUAUUUAAUAUUUUUUCUAAAUUAAAAGUAUAUUUGGUUGUUCAAAGCCUUGGUCUUAAUAUAUUUUUUGUAUUUUUAAUGACUUUUUAAAAAUAAAUUUAUUUUUUAUUUUUUAUUUUAAAUCAUUUAUCAUAUUUAUAUAAUUAAUUUUUUAAAACAACCCUAAAAAAUAAUUAAAAUACAUUCUAAAAAAAAACUUCAUUCUCAAAACAAUUUUUCUAAAAAUUAUUUUUUAUAAUAAAAAAAAUAUUUCUUCUUUUUAAGAAAAAAAUAUUAAUUUUUAUAAUACCUCAUAAAAUAAAUUUACAAUAUAUAAAAAUAAUUUAUUUAUUUUAUUUAUUUUUCUCCUUUUUUUCAAAUAAAAAAUAUUCAUAAUGUCUUUAUAUAUAAAAAAAAAAUUAAGAUAUUGAUUUGAUAUUUACUAAAUUUACAAUCUCCACACUAAAAGUUACAUACAACAAAUAAAUGAAACUAAAAAAAUAUAAAAGAAGUAUGAAGUAAUACAUAUAUAAAAAUUGCACGAGGAAGACUCCAUGCCUCUUUUUCCUUCAUUUUCCAUGCAAACAAACAAAAGCUCAAAUCCAUAUUUUUCUUUGGAAAGAAGAAAAUAUCGGUUUCAUGGCCUAUGUAUGAAUGGACUCAGAGCUUCUGACACAUGCUGUAAUUAUUGCAGAACUCCCUACCAAAAGGGAAAAUCAAUCUCAAUCUGAGGCUGAGCCACAUUCAUCUGAAACUUUGUUUUUUACCUAGCAAUCUUGAGUCCAUAUGGGUAAAACCCUGUAUUAUAUUGAAGACAAAAAAUUUUGGUACACCGCCUUGGGCUCCAUUGGGGGGACAUUCUCAUGAACCCUCUACUUUUUAGACAGAUGUUGCCGAUCCAGAGGAGUCCCAUGGUGGAGUCCCUAUGCCUUGCAUUAUUAUAUUUCAUUGCUUACUACCACCAUUAUGAGAUUUCUUCUUCAUAAUUGUCUAAUUUCGUUUCUUAAUUCUUUAGAGAUAGUGUUCUUGGAAUGGUGAUUUUUAAACAAAUGACACAAAGUAUAAUUUAUUGUCCUACCAACCCUCCAAAAUUUGUCCAUCAAUGGAUGACUUUUCUAAUAGUGUCUUAUUGACCUGGUAGCUUUGAUGUGAUUUCAUUUUUUAUUUUUUAACAUUAACUUAAAUAUCGAAGAAACUAUGCCAUUUUGGAUUAGACUUUUGGGAUUCUUUGAAAUUAGUUAAAAUGAUUAAUAUCGUGUUUAGGAAUUAUUGGUAUACGAGGUCUUGGAGAAGUAUUAGUAGGUGAGUCUAACGACUUCUCAAUCUUAUUAAGAUGAACUCCUAUAUUGCAUUUUCUUUAAUACACAAAAGGUAAUACUACGAUACUCAAAUACACAUCUUUGAACAUUAAUUACUAAGGGUCACAUGGAAAAAAAAAAGAUGGUUAAAAAAGAGAUUGAUACUAGACUUACAACCCGGUCUUUUUAUCCUAGUGAGUGAGUUUCCAAUGAUUUUACGAGAACAAAUAUGCAUGUCUUAUAGUAGAGUUCAAAUGUUUAAUAUGGAUGGAUUUAAGGGUUAUUGUGUCAUCGUAUUAGUACAUUUUGGAGAUGUUAUUGAUAAGAGAAUUAUAGUUUUCAAGUGAUGUGUAAAUGUAUCAAGACCUUUAUUGGCUAUUCAGGAUUGUCUUACCCGAUAAUAAGGAUUCAUCGAAUAUACUUUCUACAAGCGAGACAAGUUAUUCAUAUGGAUUUUAAGUGUCAAUAACUUUAUUGUGUUAACAAUACUAUACUCUAUAAGAAACAACCAUUAUAGUGGAGCGCCUGCAUUUGACCAAUACCUCAUUCUUUGAUAAUGACCACUAUGGUCGUGUACUUGUGUCUAACUAAAGGUAUAUUUUUUUAUGACUUCUCCUCAACCCUUGAAUUCAAACAAACUUAUACAAUCUGAUAUGGCUUGUACUAAACAUGCAACUCCUUCCCAUUUGAUCCUUAUUGGAGAAUGAAACACACACCCAUGCAAGAGGGCCCGAUCACAUAAGAAUUAUUAUUGAAAAUAUUUUUUUCUUUAAAACAAAAAAUAUUUUUCUAAUGCAAGAAAUAACUAAAACAACUUUUUAAAAUAAGUUAUUUUCAAAAAACAUUUAAGAAGUUUUUAUAAUUUUUUUAAAUAGUAUUAUGAUUGAAAAUGUAAAUACUACAUUAUGAGUUUUUUUUUUUCAUAUUUAAGUUAUCAAAUAAAUUUUAUUUUUAAAAAUAAUAAAAAUUUGUUUAAAACAACAACUCUUUCCGACACCUCUGAAAUUAUUUAAGAGACUUAAGAAUCCAUAACCACUUUGGAUGCCCCUCUUUAUUGCAAUCUUAACAUAAAUUUGACCUAAUAGGACUCAUUAAUUAAUUACAACACUUAUGAACACCCAACACAUUAAAACAAGUCACAAAACUCAAGGGACCAUGCUUCAAUGAGACCAUGCCCAACAAUCACGGGACCUUAGGGCUUCUCAUCAUUGUACAUCACCAAUAAAAUUAAAUAAAUAAGGUUCAAACCCAUAGCCUUGAAUAAAUGUAUGGAAUACCAAACGGAAGAUUUUUGAGGACUUUGCACUAAAAUGGAAAACAACAAAGCAUUAAGCUCCAAGAGUUAUGGGAUUAGGUGAUUUAUUUGGUGGAUAAGAUAAUGUUGCCCUGCCACUUGCAUUUUGACUUGUCCAUCUACCUAACUUAAUGCCUUUUCCCCUCCAAUCGUGGGGCACCAUGUUACCGUUAUCAUUAGCGGGUCAAUUUUAUAAUAUGAUUAUAAUAAUUAAACAUUUUUGGCUACUUGAAAUUACCCAUUUAACCCUAUCAAUUUCUAUAAGUAAAAUAAUUUUACUUAAUAUCCUUUUUUUGUUGACCUAUUGGAUACAUGCAUUAUAUAACAUGCAUCAUCAUAUACAUAUAUGUAAUUAUUGAAUAUUUAAAAUAUUUUGCAUUUAAUAUAUAAUAAUAAUUUCUGUUAGAGUUAGUAUGAUCGUUUCUAAUUUCUUUUUAAUAUUUUAAAAUUUUUAUUUUUAAAAUAUUAAAAAUAUUAGAAAGUUUCCUAAAAUCGUUAUCAACAUUUUAUUAAGCCAAAAUAAAAUUUAUCUCAUAAGUAAAAAUUUUAUAAAAAAUAAUAUUUUAUUGACUUUCAUAUUAAUUAAUCUUUUACCUAUUAAAAAAUGAUAAAAAUAAAAAUAUAUGUGAGAUUUGUUGAAAGAUUCAAAAUUUUGAUUGUUAAUGCAGUUGAAAACAAACAACAAUAAUGCCAAAAAUUGGAAGAAUUGAUAACGCAAAACUUUGUUUGAUUGGAAAAUGUUUCAAAUUAUUUUAAAUUUCCCUCCAAUAUUACACGGUGACAUUCAUCAAAUAGUCAAUAGAUAUAUUUUUUAAUUUUUUGUAUUUCAUGGAUCCCAACCCACACGCAAUUGGAACAAGAAGACUUUUGUUUCUUAGCCAAUUUGAAAAAAGGGCUCAAGGACAAACACGUUCGCCCAAGGGCAAAGCUAAUCAACCACCACCCCCUUAUGUGAAGUGAAAUAUUGGAUGUACCCCUUUAUUUGAAGGGUAUUUACAUGCUUACCAACCCAAUCAUAAUAGCAUGAAACUCAUACUAGAACGCUAAUUAUUGAGAGGGACCAUGUGGUCAAUUUCAUAUUUCCUUUUCUUUUUUUCAUUCGUCUUUUUCAAUCAUUUUCUUUCCCCUAAUCCCUUGACUUGUGGUCCAAUAUCCUUGGUUAAAAUACAAAGUAAAAGACAUUAUUGUAUAUGUGAUACGAGAGUUGAUCCAUUCUCAAUUUGUCACAAUUUUUGUUUUGAAUCAAAUUUAAAGAUUUUUUUUUUAAUUUUAUAUAGAGUAUGAUAUGUACACUAAACCAAAAUUUUUUAAUAUAUUUUUUUAAAAUUGAUGUUGAAUAUAAUAUCAGGUUUGACGGGUCUCGGGAAUUCAAAUUUUGUCCGUCUUUGUAGUUCUCCACCUAUGUGAUCAUAAAAUUAAUUUAAUGGUUAUAUGAUAAAAAUGUGUUUUAAUUACGCUUUAAAUGAUAUUUUAAAAUUUUAAAACUUUGUUAGUUUAUAUUUUUUUUUAUAAUAAAACACUUCCCUCCAUUAAAACCAAUUUUUAAUUUUUUAAAAACCGUUCUUAAACAGCUUCUUAUAUUAAAUGAUGAAAAAGUAUAUUAUUUAAUUUAACAACAAUUUUGAAAAGAAGAUUAUACCUUUUGGUUGUGAAGAAUACUAAGAAAUUUGUGGGGGCAAGGCUGAAUCUAGCCGUUAUAUUAAUUUUUAAUUAAAUAAUCAAUAAGAUUGCCAGCAUGUCAAUUCAACCGUUACAACAUGGAGUUUUAAAUCUUAUUAGUUAUUAGAUUCUUAAAAAAGCUUAUUAUCCUUUAGAUUUUCUUACCUAGUAUUGAGGUCAUUACAUUAUAUCAUAGUUUCUUUUUCUCCAAAUUUAUAUUUAUAAAAUUAUAUUAAUCAUAAUUUUGGGUUACCAUAUUAUAUUUGCAUCUCAAAUAAAUAGAAAAAAUAUAUAUUAUAUAUAUAUAUAAUAUACUUGGAAAUGUUAAUAUUGUAAUCAAAAUUGCCAUUUCAAGAUAUUAUAACCCAAAAAAAAUCACAAAUUUCAAAGGCAUUUUUUAGAAAUAUAAAACAAAUAUUAUAUUUUAAAAUUAGGCAAUAUUUAAUAAAAUAUAAUGGAUUAAAAUAGAAUAGUGACUAAGGAUGAUAAUGGGGAAGAUUUAGGAUGGAUUGCCCCCAUCUUAACCACACCUCAUUUAUUCAAAGUAAUUUUAAUUAUUGUUUCAUUAAAAAAUUAAAUCAGGGUGGGAUAUGCGAAUUUUCCAUACCCCAUCUCUCCAUCUCCUUUUGUUUUUUUUUUUUUAAAUUUAAUUUAAAAUUUAUAAUUACAUUAAAAUAAAUAUAUUUUAUAAAUAAUUAAAAUAUUAUAACAUUUUAUAACUUAUUUUACAUUAUUAUUAUAUAUUAAAUUUUUUUUAAAUUAAAUUAAUUUUAUUUGUAAUUGGGGAUGAGAUAAUACCCAAACUCAACUCCCAAUUUAUCCCAUGUUUUACGAAAAUUUUAAACUUUCCUCUAAUCCAUUUAUUUAAAUUUUAAACCCAUUGCAAUAAUGGUGGGACGGGUGUAGCCUAUUGUUAUAUUGCCACAUACUUUUAACCAUUUUGAAAAUAAAUUGUAGAAAUUUGAAAUUUAGGGGAAAAAUUGGACUAUGCCAUUUAAAUGAUUAUCUAAAUUUUUUAAAAAUUAUAAAAUAAAAAUUUAUUAAAAGAAAAAGAAAAAACCUCUGUCACCAAAAGCAUAAGGGUACUUUACUCACCCUAUUGUUCCCAAAAGGUGAUCGUGUACCAGACAACCAAGAAGGGCAUAUUGGGAAUUGAAAAAAUAAAAAUCCCAAAACUGUAAUUACACCCAAAACCAGGGCCAUUACCAAAUCCAAGGCUUCAUGACUCUCAGGUCCCAAAUGUUGUCGGAAAUAUUGUUAAUUUGAAAAUUUAAAUAUUUAAAAAAUAUUAUUUUACUUAUUUAUUUAUUUAUAAUUAUUGUCAUUUAUCAGAUCCAAACGGCUUUCCAAAGAAAUGCACUUACCCACCUGGAAAAUUUGAAUUCCUGGAAACAAAAUCUUAAAGCAACGACAACAACAAAGGGAAAAUCUCCCAUCCAAGUUUCGAAUAUUUUGUUUUUCGAAAACAACCGCAACAGCUUUUUGUUUCUGUUUUCGUUUCAGUUUUCUUAAAAAGCCGUGAAAUGGCUCCCAACGUUUCUGUUUUCUCCAAGUCUGGUUCCUCAACGGCCUUUUCCUUCCUUGGUAUUAACCGUUCGAAGUAUUAAGAAUCCACGCCAUGGUUGAUUUCUAGAAUACUAAUCGUUUCCGAACAUCAAUUUGCAGCGUUUUUGUUUCCGGGAAUUGAAAAUUUUCGCGACGAGUUUUGGGGACCUGUUUUCGGAAUUUCGGGUUCUGAUCCGAAUUAGGGCUCUUGGGAUUGUGUGUUUGGGGGAUGGUGGUGCAAUUUGACGAGUGAGAGUGGGGAUUUUGCGGCUUUUGUGAAUUAGGUUUUGUUUUGUUUUUGCGAGUGGAUUUUUUUUGUUUCUGCGACGAUGUUGUCGGUAUCGUCGCCGACGGUGGUGCGGAGCUCGCUGGAGGAGAUGCUGGAUUCGCUCCGGAAAAGGGACGAGAAGCCGAAGGACUUGCCGCCAGCGCUGCCGGCGCGGCCGACGUCGAGGUCGAUGCGGCUGCCUUCUACCAGGCGGUCGUUGCCGGUAGACUUCAAGGUUGGAGGGGGCAAUGCUGGACUGGAUAGUCCUGUAGGAGGGGCUCAAGGGAAGGAAGAUGUGAAGAGGAAGGGGAGAGAACUAGGGCUCAGAAGAGGCGGUUUGGGAAGCAAGAAGAGGAUGAAGGCUGUUCAGCCCGGUGAUUUGCCGUACGUUGAGGCGGUGGAAGAGAAGGCCGUUGCCUGUACACUUACGUCGCCGAGGUCCACACUUACAUCUCCGAGGUCUGCUCUGACAUCGCCGAGGUCGACACUUACCUCGCCGAGGUCGAGGAAGGAGACUGAAUGGGAUGAUAACGUCGGGUAUUUUGUUAAGAAGGUAAUUGAAUGCCCCAAAAAACUUUAGAUUUUGUCGUUUGAUUGUUAUUAGUUCUGUUUCCAAGUUUUUUGUGUUGCUCAGAAGAAUUUUUGGUUCUUAGAAAGUGUGUUUGGUUCUUCAAUUCUUGCAAGAGGAGCUAAUUUUCAAUGACUUUGAGAAAAUAUGGCACCUUACCGUCAUGAAUGGCUGCAAUGGAUUCAGCAUUUUAAAUGAGAUUAAGACAGACAUCAUAUAGAGCUUCUUUAGAAUUAGAGAUGAAAAUGUAGUUGAAGUUUUAUGGGGAGUUCUGGGUUUGAGACUUUCGGAGCUUAUAGGAAAUGUUAAGUUCUUGAUUAGCACUGGGUUUGUCUUGGUGGGCCUUUUCGGCUGCUUUGUGCUGAAAAUCCAGCUUCAGCUAGUUUUACUUCAUUCUGUGAAUUUGUUGCUUAAUCCGAUUGUGUAGUUUCAGAGUGGGGACUUCUGUUUUAUACGGGCCUGUAGUUUAUUUGACUCCCCUAUUUGAUGAAGUGUUUGCUUUAACAUCCUUUUAGUCUAUUUGUGAAAGAGAAAGACUCAUUUUUCUUUUGUUAGUCUCUAAUGAAUGGAUCAUAGGCUAUGCCCUGUUGGAUAUCUUAAUUAGUGGCACCCACUCAGAAAAGUGAGGUUCUAGGUUCUAUUCCUGGGGUUACUAGAUUCAAUAGUUCUUUGGUAAGGUUCAGACACCUUGGUUUUCCUGGUCCUGUGAAGAGUGGGUCUCCUUUUUAAUGAAAAAGAAACUGGAUGGCUUGUAAGCUACAUAACUGGAUCAUUUGAAUUUUUGCCUUAGGCCAUGAGGAAUUCCUGUACCCAACCCAUGUACUUUUCUGGAGGUCCUAGCAUCAGAAGCCUUGGUACUUUUCUGUUUUCUUGGAGGUCAACAUCCUGCUGGAUUUGUUUACAUUUUCUCAUGGGGUGUGUUAGCCCCUCCAUUUUUCUUUGUAAUCCUCAAAUAACCUUAUAAUUGAAUCUCUCUUUAAAAUAAUGCUUAGCUGCAUAGAUCAUUAAUAUGCUAAACAUACAUUUACUUUGAAAUGUGUUCAGAAACUUCCGGUCUGGUGUCGGCUCCCAAGUGGGCAGUGGGAAUCAGGAACUGUACAAUCAACAACAGGAGAGGAAGCGCUUGUUUUGCUCUCAGAUGGGAGUGUGAGUUCAUAUACUCUUUGAUCUCAUUCUUUAAUCCCAAGCACUUGAGUAAGUGUGGAUUCCACAUACUUACGUAGUUAUAUUAUUAUCACAUUACACAGGUUGUCAAAGUGUCAACAGGAGAGAUUUUACCUGCAAACCCAGAUGUCCUUGUGGGUGUGGAUGAUCUCAUACAGCUUAGUUAUUUGAAUGAACCAUCAGUUGUACACAAUCUUCAGUACAGAUAUUCUCAUGAUAUCAUUUAUGUAAGUACAACUGAGACGCCUUAUCUGUGCUUGCCAAUGAAAUGAUGUUUCCUUUUCCACACUUCAUUUACUGGUAGUUGCUUUUUUUCCUUUCUGUAGAGUAAAGCAGGGCCUCUUUUGAUUGCAGUCAAUCCCUUCAAAGAUGUCCCAAUUUAUGGGAAUGACUUUGUCACAGCAUAUAGCCAGAAAGUUAAAGAUAGCCCUCAUGUUUAUGCAAUAGCAGACAUUGCUUAUGAUGAGAUGAUGAGAGGUGACUGAAACCAUACUUAUUUUAACUAGAAAAGAAAUUUUAUUUUCCGUACUCACACAUAACUAACAUGUGAAGCAUUCAUUUUUUUCCUAAACCUGUUGUUGUUCAUGUUGCAGAUGAAGUAAAUCAAUCCAUCAUCAUAAGGUCAGUUGGAGUAUCUUCCUAUCAUUUUACUGUAAAAUGGGAGCUUCUUUAUGGAUACUUCUGUUGCAGUUCGUUUUCAAUGUUUAAUAUAUUGAGCCUUUAAGCCCAUUUUUAGUGUUUCAUGAGGUGAUCAUCGAAAUUUUAUCUUCCAGUGGCGAAAUUGGUGCUGGAAAAACUGAGACAGCAAAAAUUGCAAUGCAAUACCUGGCUGCACUUGGUGGAGGCAGCGAUGGGAUAGAGAAUGAACUCACUCAGACAAGUUGUAUCCUAGAAGCAUUUGGGAAUGCAAAAACAUCAAGGAAUAACAACUCUAGUCGAUUUGUGAGUUUUUCUCUCUCAUUUCUUUCUCCUAUUCAUGACUAAAGGUAGUCCUAGGUUUAUCUUUAUUUGAUUCUUUUUUUAUUUGGAUUUUUCAAAAAGUUAACUGGUUUACAUUCAUUUUGAAAUGGUGCAGGGGAAGUCAAUUGAACUUCAUUUUAGUACAUUUGGGAAAAUAUGUGGUGCUAAAAUCCAAACUUGUAAGCACGAUUGCAGUGAAUAUAUUGCUUUUAGAAUGUACUACUCUUUUUUAUUAUCUUUUCAGUUAUACUAAUCAACAUGAUUCACUCCUACAACCUUGCAUGUGCAUCUCAAAUGCCAAUUUAACAAUGAUAAUUGUGGAUAGUUCUGCUAGAAAAGGUAACUCAUUGUUCUAUAUGGGCUUUAUCUUAGACUUUCUAUUUAUUAUCAAGUGCCAAUUUUGAAUAUCAUGUCUCCUUUGAGCAGUCUAGAGUAGUUAAGCUCGCUGAUGGGGAGAGGUCAUACCACAUCUUUUAUCAACUUUGUGCUGGUGCUCCAUCCAUUCUCAAAGGUUGUAAUUUCAUUGUUUUUCCAUCCUGCUAAUUUUUUGUGCCUUGUGUGCUUGUGUUUGUUUCUAUGCAACUAUUGUGUUGUUGACAAAUGUGAACAUGCCUACUUUUACACAUUUUACAUGGUGAAAAAACAAAACAGUUGUGUAGUUAGCCUCUAAAACCCCUAUGCUCUAUUAUAUGGGUUCUUCUGAAGUUUAGGAAGCUGAAACCUCAUUGUGCAUGAAUUGUAAGCUGCUUGUAAUUUUCAUGGCAUAUGACACACAACCUGAUGGUUAGGACUCACCACUUAAUAUCUUGCACAGAGGAUUUUUAUCAAAUGUUAUGGGAAGUUACUCUAGAUAUACAUAAAUGUGGAGGUCUAUUAAAAUCGCUCAACCUUUUUGAACUGGUUGAUCUUCCUACUUGGAGCCCUCAAAUGCACAUCGUUUUUUCCUACAGAAUGAGCCAUGUUUUUAGUGGAAGAGGUGGGUUAGGUUUCUUUCAAUGUCUUUGUCUGACAGUUUUGAUAUGGUAAUUGUUAGCCUGGUGUACAUUGUAGGCUCAUAUUGUAACAGCUUAAAUCUUUAUGAAAUGGUAGCUUAAUGUGGUAUUAGAGCUAUGGUUAACUAGAGCUCUUGAGUUUGAGUCUCUUCUACUGGUAUUGUUUCCAUCUCUGUGUCCCUAACUGCUGCUUAUUCUGUAACCACUGCUAAUUUGUUUCUCAUGCAUCUAUUUAUCUAUAACUGCUGCUGAUUUGUUUCUCCAUGCACAUUCCAGGCCCAUAUCCUAACAGCCUGAGCUUUUAGGAAAGUUUGUAGUUUAACAGUAAUAAUUGUGGUGGUCUUUGAUUUUGCACCUUGUGUUUCGAAAUCUGAUAUUUUAAAAAAGUUGCAUUAUAGCUGUUGCAUUUCAUAAAGCUAAUUUAUCUGCACUACUGUAAUCAAUUCGAUAAGUGAUGGAGUUCUCUCAAUGAACAUGCAAUUCAUUUCUCUUACCAAGUUUGUAAAGAAUUUAUUGUCUCAUGCAAAGAUUUGCUUUAUGUUUUCCUUCACAGAUAAACUGAACAUUAAAAUGGCUAGUGAGUACCACUAUCUUAAUCAAAGCAACUGCUUGGCAAUUGAUGAUGUGGAUGAUGCUCGGAAAUUUCAUGUGCUUAUGGUAACUAAGAUUUAGGUGUUACAAACCCUUAAGGAUAACCUUUUUUUUUUUUUUUUGGUCUUUUUAUUACCUAUUUCAUUUAUGUAUCCUAAGUGCCAUUUUUUUGGGUUAUUUUUGUAUUUCACCAGGGAGCCUUAGAUAUUGUUCAAAUUUGCAAAGAAGAUCAAGAGCAUGCAUUUUCAAUGCUUGCUGCAGUGUUAUGGCUGGGAAACAUAUCAUUUCAAGUAGUUGACAGUGAAAAUCAUGUGGAGGUGGUUGCUAAUGAAGGUAAGCUCUCUAUAUUUGGUUUUGCAUGCUACUUUUGUGAUGGAUGCUUUGCACCUGGUAUUUUUGAGAUAUCUCAUUUCGAGCUUUCAACUCUAAUCAUUAGUUGUUAUCAUCUUGGAUUAUUUUAUUUUAUUUUAUCAUAAACCAAAUGCAUUUAUUCCACACAUGUAAAGUUCAGGAACAACAUGGUAAUUGGCUUUGAGCAGAAAUACUGUAUGUUGGGCACAUCCAUGGACAAAUAAGCUUAACUUGUUACCUGGAAGUAUCAUUUGUCCUGCUUUAGUUAUUUUUUAUUUAUUUUUAGUGUUUUUUAUAUUUUUUUUAGAUGUGCAAUUGUAUUGGGUGAAAUAUUCGCAGCUACUGCAAGUUUGAACAUGGAAUUAAAGUUGCUAAUCACUGUGGUAAAUAUCAUAGAUAAUUGAGAAUGGAAUGGGUUUGAAAGCCUGAAGUUUGACCAUGAGAUUAUUUUGAGGCUUAAUCCUCUAUACCAUAUGGUAUAAAAUGAACGGUGAAGUCAUUAGUUAUGUAUAAAAAUAAAAUCAACAAUUAUCCUAUUCUUGAUUCCUAUUGCUUACACCCCCUGUCGUACGGUUCUGUGAGCUAAAGGGUGUCAGAUGAUUAGUUUGUUCACACCCAUAUGUAUGCUAUCCAAUCACACAUGAAAUUAUUUUCUGGGCCAUUAGUUGAAAAAGGUCUCUUUUUUUUGCUUGUAAUGUUGCUUCAAGCCUUCAACAAAUUGUGCAGAAGUCUGGCAAUCCAGCUGGACCCCUGGGGGUUCUUGAUGAAGGGGAUAUGGAAGAAGGCUUUUGAGAGUUUAGGUGUUAAACUUGGGGAGUUAGAUGUAUGGUAUUGCGAAUUGGAUGCCCUUUAUGAAAAGAUAAGAAGAAAGGAUCUGGAAUUCUAGAUCUCUUAAAUGCCAUGAUUUUUGCUAGGCCAUUAGUUGAAAAAGGUCUCUUUUUUUUGCUUGUAAUGUUGCUUCAAGCCUUCAACAAAUUGUGCAGAAGUCUGGCAAUCCAGCUGGACCCCUGGGGGUUCUUGAUGAAGGGGAUAUGGAAGAAGGCUUUUGAGAGUUUAGGUGUUAAACUUGGGGAGUUAGAUGUAUGGUAUUGCGAAUUGGAUGCCCUUUAUGAAAAGAUAAGAAGAAAGGAUCUGGAAUUCUAGAUCUCUUAAAUGCCAUGAUUUUUGCUAGGUGGUAGUUUUUUCUUUCAAUGUAAUAAUUUUAGAAAGACAUUUGAGUAAUUUUUGUAUUCUCACCUAUAUAAGAAUACUCAUCCAUAUGCCUUUUCCAUCAUAACCAGAAGUUUGUGCUAGUCCUAAUGAUUAUUAUUUUAUUUUAUUUCCCAUUGUUGUUUCUAUCUCUAUGUGAACUUUGAGAAAACUUCUGUUCUAUGUUCAUUUGUGUGCAUGCUUCUGAAUUCUAUCUAAAUAAAAUGGUGCCACAUGAGGUGUUUAUACAGAGAUAACCACAGCCUUCUUUAUGGGUUUUUUCUUUUUGUGUAUUUUUUGGCAGCUGUUACCUGUGCUGCCCGGUUGAUUGGUUGCAGUGCCCAGGAGCUGAUGUUAUCUUUAUCUACCAAUAAAGUCAAAGCUGGGAAUGGUGAUGCUGCCAAAAAAUUAACGUUGCAGCAGGUCUGUUAAAUAGUUAUCCGAAAACUGUCUGUUCUCUCUGUGCUCUCUCUCUCUCUCUCUCUCUCACACACACACACACACACACCUGGAUUUGAUGUGCAUGUAAAUUUCAAGCAGAGACAUUAUUUUUCUCUUAUUUAGGCAAUUGAUGCAAGAGAUGUGAUGGCGAAAUUCAUAUAUGCAAGCUUAUUUGAUUGGAUUGUAGUACAAAUCAACAAAUCUCUUGAAGUGGGCAAACGACCCACUGGGAGAUCCAUAAGUAUCCUAGAUAUGUAUGGCUUUGGGACAUUUCAGGUAUACAAUUCACAUUUAUCUGCUUAGUCAUGUUUCUAAUGGAAUAUGAUUAUAACACUCACAAGGAUCUUAUCUUCAAAUUUUCAGAAGAACAGCUUUGAACAACUCUGUAUAAACUAUGCAAAUGAGAGGCUGCAACAGCAUUUCAAUCGUCAUCUACUUAAACUCGAACAGGAGGUAUGCAUCUAAACUCUAUUUAUACCAUUGGAGUUGUUGGUCAUUCAUGACACGAGUAUACAGAAGCUUUCUGAAAAUUUUAUCUUGAUUAAAAAAUGCAAAGAAGAUCCAAAAUAGCAAUUCCUUGCCAUAUUUUACAUGAAAAUGUAAUGGGAAUUCUUGUUUCAUUUUUCAUUAACAAAGUGCUCCAUUCAAGAUAUGGUGGGUAAAUUUGUUAUCCCUUGGAGAACCUACAAUCUUUUGGUGGAGUGGAACUAUUUAGGAAGUAAUUUGAGAAUAAUUAUUAGUGAUAUAUGUAGAUGAGAAAUUCCUAUAAAAAAAAAAUAUAUGUAGAUGAGAAAUAGAACUGCAAAUUUUGUUAUGGACAAUGAAUGGUCUUCUAUGUACACUCUAACCCAAUCCAAAUGACUUCACAAAUAAUAAGAUUUGAUUGCUUGGUCUGACUGCCCGAUGUCAUUAAAUGACCUCCUGUUUCUUUCCUUCCAUGGAGUCUAGAACAAACACAAGCUUUGGGUUUUUUUCUUCUUAUUCCCCAUGAAUGAGCACUGCCAACUCAAUAGGUUCCCUCUAACUGAAGGAAUGCAUCACCCAUACCACUCCAGAGAAAAGAUCAGCUACCACAACAUUCUUGCUUUGGAACAGUGAAGAAGGAAAUGGUUUGUUGAUUCUUUCUUACCUUUGCACAAGAAACAUCUAUUAGGCAAACACCAUCCUCUCAUUUUGAGCUAGUCUACUAGAAUUCUGCCCCAAGUUGCUUCCCAUAUAAAGAAGCUUACCUUUGUUGGUGCUUAGGUACUCUACGCCAUGCUUGUAGGGAAAUGCUCUCUACACCCCUUGGUUAAGGAGGCAUAUAUAUUUAAUUGAUAAGUUGCCACACUUGGUUUCCUUCUACCUCAACUUGUCCACUUUGCUUCUAAUUGACAAAGUGUUCAAUUUGCAUAAAAAUCUCUCCACUUUCUCAAGUUUCCAAUCAUUAAAGUGGAUUAAUGUGAUAUUCCUAUGGUAUUUAAGAUUGUUUUUGUAGUAGGUAACUAGAUAUUUCAAUAAUAGUAAUGAUUAGAAAAAUUAUAAUGUCUUAACUUGUUUAUUCUAUUUCAGGAAUAUGAAUUGGAUGGGAUUGAUUGGAAAAGAGUUGAUUUUGAAGACAAUCAUGAGUGUUUAGAUCUCUUUGAAAAGGUAUUUCUAUUAUAUGAGCUAAUGCAUGUGUAGAUUUCUUUGGUCACACUAUUAACUUCUCUAGAGAAUGAGACUAUUUCAUAUCUAGUGUGAUGUGUAAAGCCUAGGUCCCAUUUCUCUAAAAAAAUAAAAUAAAAAUAAAAUUAAAAAUUAAAUGAGCCCUUAGAAAUAUAUAUUUACUUUUGAAUUUAGAAAAGUAUAAUUACAUUUUGAAUGCUAUUAAUAAAAAAUUUAAAUAAAAAUAAUUUUAUAAAUUUUAAGUAAAACUAAAAAGUUAAUGUUUCCUUUAUAAAGUUAAAGAAAACUAAAAAGAAAAUAAAAUAUUUUGUAAAAUCUGCUAUUACCCUUACACAUUUAUUUUCCUUUUUAUUCUAUUUUUAUCAUUUUCUUCUCAUGCUGACAUUGUCUUAAUUUAUUUUUCAUUUUUUAAUAUACCUAAAAUUGAGUUUGGUAAUUUUGUAUUUGAUAUUUUCUUUAAAUAGUUUUGAUGGUAUAUUCUCUUCCAUUUUCAUUUGAAGAUUUUGAAUUUAUUCACAUAAUUGAUUUUAUUUUUAGUUUUAGCCAUUAAAGAUAAUAUAACUUAAUAAAAUACUUUGAACUGUAGACAAUAAUAAUUUUCAAAUUUUUAUUAAUUACUUAUAUUUUAUUUAAGUUGACAUAUGACUCUAUUAAAACUCUAAAUGUCAAGACACUUAAUGUGUUAGGGAAGGUGCUGCCGUCAUAAUACUCUAUAUGAUAGGUGAUUUUUAAGUCAAAGAUUUUAUCACUUUCCAUUGAUUUUAUACUUAUUGAUUUGAAAAAAUCUCACAUUUUAUCAAAUAAAUAAAUUUAAAUUUUUUUGGGAAAGUUUUAAAGAUUUUUUUAAUGAAAAAUUAUUAAAAUUAUUGAAAAUUUAAAAAUCUCAAAUUUAAUUAAAUAAAUUAUAAAAUUUUUGAAAAAGUGUUAAAGAUUUUUUUACAAAAAGUUAUUAAAAUUAUUGAAAUUUUUUUGGUUAGAUUUCUUACCAUUUUUUUAUUUCUUUUGUUUAUUUUCAUAAAAUCUCAUAUUUUUGUGAAGUUGGUGAUUUAAUUUGAUACUUAUAUACUUAUAUAUAUAUAUAUAUAUAUAUAUAUAUAUAAAGAAAUAAUGUCAUAAGAAUAUAGCAUGAAAUAUGGAAAGAGAUACAUAAAGGAGGGCAAAUUUACCUAUAUUUGUAUAAUAAGUCAUUCAUAAAUUUGAAAAAUAAUUACCGGUAUCCACCUUAUCAUUCAACAAACUAAGUAAUAUAUUGGUUUGCAGUUUAAGUGCUAAGGAUGGGCUUUGUUAUAAUAUCUUUUCUUUUUAUAUGAGGCCAGAUUAUAUGUUUUAUAGUAAGAGCAGUUACUCUUUAUUGUGUGGUGGAUUGUAUUAACUUUCACCACAAUGCAUUCUGCAGAAACCUUUAGGGCUACUAUCUUUAUUGGAUGAGGAGUCAAAUGCUCCCAUGGCCACUGAUAUGUCCUUUGCCAACAAACUUAAGCAGCAUUUGGUUGGCAAUCCCUGCUAUAAAGGAGAAAACGGUGGAGCUUUCAGUAUUCGUCAUUAUGCUGGAGAGGUCAGUUGUCCUAAGCUCAGGAUUUUUGGAGGUUUUUUGACAACUUGUGUGUUAAGAUGGCUUAUCCUGAUGACAAUUUUGACUAGAUUAUGGUUAGUUCUCAUUUCAAAACACGAUAUACGUUAUAAAGGUAGGCUUUGGAUUUCCCUUGGUCUUACAUGAUACAAUUUUUAGGUCACAUAUCUUAUAGAAAUAAAUAUUUAAGUAAAACAGCUUAUAAAAUAAUGGUCACAAUAGUAGAAUUUCUCUUAGAAAUUAAUGCUUUCCCUUGUGUCACAACUACCUUUAGUGUAUGUAUGGAGGAGAAAGGGAUUAUAAUAAUGAAGAACUGUUCCAUAGGCUUGUGGAUCAAAUUCUAAAAUAAUCUAGUUUACUUUGAUUAAUAUGGAUGCAAUUUAAACUUAUGUACAUUGAAAAUAGCACAUGUUUUGGGAAGAUCAAAUUUCCUGAUUAAUUAUGGGAUGAUUUAUCUCCUUGCUUUUCCUUUUCUAAAUCUUAGUGUUGGGGUGCAACAAUGCAACUCUUAAGACCGGGGAUGGGUCACACAAAUGAUGAUGGUCGAAUAUCAUAAAAGGCUUAGCCUACACUAAUUGGACACCAAUUGGUUUCAAAUGAGAUGGUCAAAAUCCAAUCCAAGAAUUGGUACUGGAUUUUGAGCCAUGAGAGCUUCAUGAUGGGGAAGGGAUUGUUGUGGUGUAACAAUGCCACUCUUAAACCUGAAGACGAGUUACCUAAAUAAUGGUGGUUGAAUGUCAUAAAAGGCUUAACCUAUCCUCAUUAGACACCAAUUGGUUUUCAGAUGAGAUGGUCAAAGCUCGAUCCAAGACCUAGCCCUUGCUAGUUCCUUCCUACCAUCUCAUUUGACCAAGCUCUUUUGAGUCCUAACUCUUCCUAUUUCCUUUGUGCCAUCUCCUUCCACCAAGUAUUUUUCUAAUAUUUUGGCACAUUAACUGCAAGAACAAAUCAAUCAUAUGCUAGCAGCUACCUUUGGUUUCAAAUAUUGUCUAAAUUUAAAAGGUUGUUGUUCUCUUUCAAUUUUAAAUUUUCAAGAUUUUGAAAUAACACCAAUUAAGACAAUGAAAUUUAGAAGAUAUUUUCUUUCCUUUUUAAUGAGUUGAUAAUUGAUUUUGCAUUUUGAUGUGAUUGAAACCAAUGCCAAAACCAAAAAUUUAAUCCUUGAUACCAGCAGAUUUCUUUUAAUUUCAGUGUGCCCUUGCUUACUAAUUCAUGAUUGCAUGAUUGUAAUUUCUAAAUUAAUUCUCAUCCUGAAAUUGGCCUUGUAUACAACAAUUGUAAUUUAUCUGAUUCAGUGGUAAAACAUUUAGGUUAAUUCAAACAUAGGCUAGUUGACUUGAUGUUGAUCACUUGUUAAACAGGUUUAAUGGUUACAUGUUUUGUAGAGUUUUCUUAUCUUAAUCAAAUUAGCUUAGCGACAAUUACUGACUAGCCUGAUGCUUAUAAAAUAUUACCCUGUGCUUGUCUGAGCUGGCUUGAUUCAUUCAUGAAAAACCUUCAAAAAUCAGGAUUUAUCGUUGUGUACGCAUUUACUGACAUCUGGAGGUUUGUUAGGUUCUUUAUGAUACAAGUGGCUUCUUGGAAAAGAACAGAGAUCCUCUUCACUCUGAUUCGAUCCAACUCCUCUCAUCAUGUAGUUGCAAGCUUCCUCAGUUGUUUGCCUCCAAUUUGCUCGACCACUCCCAGAAGCAAGCUAGUCCUUUAUCCUUAGGUGCAUUUGAUUCCCAGAAGCAAAGUGUUGGGACAAAGUUUAAGGUAAAGAUGUUUGUUUCCUGGAACUGGAUAUACUGUGCAUUUAGCUACAAACUAUUUUUCAAUUACAAGCCACCUAAUAUGAAACUUGGAACAGUACUGCAGUAUGUGAAGUAAUAAUGUGUAAAACCUCUACUCUCUUUUGACAAUUUAAUUGAUUUAAAAUUGUAAAUAGUAUUUGCAUAGUACCUGUUAAUGUGGUUAUUUGGAUUCUUGCCUGCAUAUAUGGUAGCUUGGCAAUCAGAAUGCGCUUUUUUGUUGUUUGAUGAAGGUCCUUUAUACGUCUGUGAUGAGAUGAAUAUCAAUCAAUGUGUACAUGUAAAUGGACGAGAAUUACUAUGUUUUGGUGUCUUCUUACUUGUUUGGUUUAUAGACUCAUGUUUGUACAAUAAUUUUUAGGAAUCCAUUUUAUGCUUGUAGGAUCAACUGUUCAAACUGAUGCAGCAGUUGGAGAACACUUCUCCUCACUUCAUUCAUUGCAUAAAACCUAAUGAUAAACAGCUUCCUGGCAUGUAUGAAAAGGAUCUUGUCUUGGAGCAGCUCAGGUGUUGUGGAGUUUUGGAGGUAGUCAGGAUCUCAAGAUCUGGGUAUCCUACUCGAAUGACACAUCAAGAAUUUGCAAGAAGGUACAGGAUGACACCCUCCUUUAUUUCAAUGUUUUUUCUUGUACUAGUGUUUAAUAGUUCUUAUCAUAUGCUUGCAUAUAAUUAGGUAUGGGUUUCUACUUCCGAAGGACAAUGAAUACCAGGAUCCAUUAAGUAUAUCAGUUUCUGUUCUUCAGCAAUUUAAUAUCCUUCCUGAUCUGUAUCAAGUUGGCUACACAAAAUUAUAUUUCCGAACAGGACAGGUGAGUUCUAUAUUUUUGCCUAUAUAUUUGUGUGGGCUUCUAUAAUUUUUCUUGUAUGUGAUGCCCCGUAUGGAUUAGAAAAUGAUGGUCUGCACUCUUCCCUCUUUAAGAAACAAAAUCCAGGGUAGAUCUGUUUAAAGUGGGGCUACUGGAUGGUAUUUCAAGCUUCCUACUUUCUUCACUUUGCAGAUAUGCACAAAUCUGCCAGAGUGAAAAGGUGGGGCCCUCUGCCUAGAUCUUGUGCUCUUGGAUGCUCAUGCAUGGGUUUGAGCAGUUGCACAAAGUUCCCAUGAGCAAGUUUGAGAAAAUUUUUGAGGAAAAUUGGAAUUGAUUUCCUUUGAUUCAUUUAGAAAAAAGUGUACACACACACACAAACACACACAACAGUGCUACAAAAACAUGAAAUUACCAUAAAUGGAAAUCUAAAAAGAAAGUCAAUGUUUGUAAAUAGACAAGAGCCUCAAAAAUCUGCCUACAAUAGGAGUGAGUAGAAGAUAUUUGAAUUUCUAAAUCUCUAGAAUCCUCCUUAUGAAUAAAGCAAAAGCAUUAGGCUCUAUUUAACAAUUGUUUUUUCAAACAGUUUUUUGUUUUUUGGACCAAAAUAACUGGAAAAUACUUUUGACAGAUGGAAAUAGAAAAUAGUUUUUUUUGCUCUUAAAAACAGAAAAUAUGGUGUUUUUAGAAAACAUUUUUUAAUUGUCUUGACUUGUUUUCAAAGGGCUGUUUUAGUUGGUUUGUUGUUUCUCUUUCCUUUUACUUGUAUUCAGCAUGCUUAUAGAACGGAGCAUGAUUUUCUUAACCUUUUGUGCAUCUUAACUUGUAGACUGCUUUCAUGAACUUUUCAAACCAAGCUCUCAGGAAUUGUUUGAUGUUUAGCUUAUAUGUACGAAUCUGAAGAAAAGGAUUCCUGUUAGAACUAGAUGAUUUCCCUAUUGAUCUAUCAAAAUUUUCAGAUGUUAUUUCAGACAUUUGAAAGGAACACACUGGUAAAGAAGGUUGAUCGAAACUGUUAACAAUGAAGGCCAACGGAAAAAAUACACCUUAGUCUAGAACCCUUAAUUGCUCUGACACCAUUAGGAAAAUUGGAAUUGAUUUUCCUUCAUUCAUUUAGGGGAAAAAAAUUUACUACAUGUAUAGACAACAGGGUUACAAGAAAAGGGAACUGCAAGAAUGUAUACUUGAAACCUAAAAAGAAAGUCAAUGUUAGGAGAUAGACGAGCAUCAGAAUGCCUCUAAUCCUCCUCAUGGGUGGGAAAAAAAUGUUACUUUCUCAACACUUAUUUAUAUUUUAAAUCUUUUUGGAAGUCUUCAGGAACAAAAGUCCUGUAUUGGUUUUGUCUUCCACCAAAUAAAUAAACAAGACAGAUCAUUGAGACUCCAUUACCUUCUGCUUGAAUUUUUCUUUUUCUUUUUCAGAUGAAUGAUUUAGAUUACAAGAGUGCCAAAGUUGUUGUGACCUGACAUCUAUAGUAAUAUAUCCCAACUUCUACAUCACAUCAGUAGACAUGCAUAUUGUGCUCAUUUUGGAUGGUUCAAUUUUACUUUAAUGAUUGUAAUCUUGGAUUCAUGCUGGAACAGUCCAAAGCAAAUGAGAAUUACCAGAUAAAAUGGAUUUGACUCACUUAUGGUAGUUUAAUGCGCUAGCAAGUUAUCAUAUCUUUAAAGAAAUCACUUUCGAAGAUGAUAGUAUUCAUCCAAAACUCCUAAUCUCCAUAGUCCAUCCAGGUGAUGAUGUAUAGUAGGACAAUGAAGUGCUGUUGCCACUUAAUUAUAUUGAUGAAUCUCAUCAAGGUAUUGAGUAAAACAGUGAGAAAGUAGCAUCUGAAUUUAGGUGACAAUAUUAUGCUUGUCGAACCCAGAGAUCCAUAGCUAGCACCGAGAAUCUUCUAUGAAAAGCAUCUAAACAACCAAGACCACCCUACUGUUGUUUAGGAUCCAACAUGACCCAUUUAUUGCAAAUCAGCCCUAAAAAGUGGUCUUUUUCCCCCUUUUGUAGGUUUUUUUUUUUGGGAGAAUUAUGAUUUAGGGUCUUCUAAAUCAUAUAAUGGUCAAAAGGAUAUAAAAGAUUGACAUUUCACCUCACAACCCGCAACAAAUGAGUUUUACUUAAAUUGUUUUGAAUAAUAUUUGACGAUUUGGCUAUCAGAAAAUGUCAAAAUUACUUUUUUUUUGUCUUUUUAUAUCAUUCCAUCUUUACUUUUUCUAAUUUUCUUUUUUGUCUUUUCUUUCCUUCUAUUUAUAAUUAUUUGCAAUAAUACAUCAAAUAAUAAUAAAUAGUAUUAAAAAUGCUAAAAGUUCAAAUAAUGAUAAUAAUAACAACACUAAUAUUAAAAUAGUAGUCUUAAUAAUAAUAAUUAUUGUUAUAUUAUUAUUCUUAUUGUUGUUGUUUUUGUUGUUGUUAUUAUUAUUAUUAUUAUAGAGUAAGAUGAAAAGAUAAAUAAUAAUAAAGAAAAUGAGAAAAGGACAAAAUAAAAAAAGACAAAAGAAUGGUAUUUUUGUCGUUUUACUCAUAAUGGACUUAUUAUCAAUUUAUGAAGUUUUGUAUCUUUUACCCCGAGUGCACUACUUUCUCCACCCUAAAGUAUAUUCUCUCUUUUCUUUUUUAAUCCCUACAGAGAAGUGAACCUGAAACCUCCCAUGACCCCACCCCAAACCCAUUACUUCAUGAAUCAGGCCUCAAAGGCUCCUUCAAAAGGUUACAUUAAGUUAUAUCUAUCAGUUAUUGUCCUUAUGCACUUUUUUUUUCUUUUUGUUAAAGAAAAUGGUAGAAAUGCACAGCAGUGAAACAACUCACAAGUUCUUGAUAAAACCAACAUACUCUGCCCAAAGAACUGAACCUAAAGAUGUUUUCUCCUUGUCAUUCUUAGGUGUUUUCUUCCAAUUAUUUUUGCAAGCGUCAAUACAAUUGGAGUCAGCACUGUAUGGAUGCUGAUGCCUCAAUCACCUACCAAUAGUUGCCUUUCUAGUCUUGAUUGGUUGUGACUCUGAUUGAAAGUUUGUUAUGAUGGACCUACAUUCAUUCUACACAAGCACUUCAAAAUAUGAAGAAUCCAUGGACAUGAAUAAAGGUAUUGGGUACCUGGUUUGGCAUCCCUACCAACUUGCCCAAUACUGUCCAAAAUAAGAAAAAACCGAUUCCUAUUUCACUAUAAAUUUCCUCAUGUGCUUUCUUUGAUCACACUUGUAUGCUACCCUAUAGAAAAAGGAAAAAGCAGGCCUUUUUUAUUUUUAUUUUUUUUGAUAAUAUUGCCAUGCUUUUGUUGUAAGAUUUGGGGAUUAGAUGAAUUCAGCACCUAGAAAAAGACACAGGUGGUACUUGUAUCUAACUCCUGUAACAUAGAGAUAGUGCUUAAUCUUAGUUUUGAGAGAAAAAAAAAAAGAAAGGAAGAGAAAAAUGGUAGAAGAUGAAAGAAGUGAGAGUAGAAUAACUUGGUAGCUUGGCAAAGCUUUGGUGACCUCCAAGUUCUGCAGCAGUGACUUAGCAUGUCUUUGUAUUGAGAUAAGAGUUUAUUGUACUGUGGUUUUAUCUGAUGUUUCUAUAUCUUGGUCUUGCAUAGAUUGAUGAAUUGGAGGAUAUGAGAAAACAAGUUCUGCAAGGCAUAAUUGUGGUUCAAAAACGCUUCCGUGGCCGCCAGGCUCGUCGUUAUUUCUAUGAACUCAAGGGAGGAGUAACCACACUGCAAUCAUGUAAUUCAUAUGUAACUUUGAAACUUUUAGUUGUUUAAUUUGGAAGAGAUGCAUUACCGAUUUUACAUUCUUGUUUGCCUCAUGCCACCUGCAUAUAUUGCUCAUUUUAUGCAAAUUGGAGAACCGGUAUUGUUUUAGGAUUUUUAUAAUUUUUUUUUGUCCUUACAAAUAUUUUUGCUUAGAAACUCCAGAUAUCAAGUAAUGUUGUGGCUUAGAGUUUUUUGGAUUUUUUAAGGACUUCUUGAUUUUUUAGGAUCAUCAGAUUCCACUUUAUAUAAUUUUCACUUUUCAUUUCUUAAUGUAAGUUAUAUUUUCCAUGCAGUUGGUCAUGGUGAAAAUGCUAGAAGGGGGAAUGAUGUUUUGGUAAAGACUUGGAGAGCUGAUAUUCCCACACAGAAGCAUAUGAAACAGCAGGUUGCUCCACAAACACCUGAUGAGGGGGCAAUCAUACAUUUACAAUCUGGUAAAAACUGUGUUGCUUGUUUGAACUAAUUUAUGGUGGUUCGAUUUGCAUAUACUGUUCUCAUUAUUUUUCUUCUAUUUUUUUUUUUAUUAAUUCUUUUCCUUUCAGUAAUCCGUGGGUUGUUGGCUCGAAAGCAUUUUAAUCACAUGCAGGGCUCGAAAAAGCUGAAUCUUGAGAAUGCAAAUUCUAGACAAAAGUCAGAUAGGAGGAUUUCAGAUGUAAAGGUACUCUCUACAUGCACCUAGUAGCAUACAAGAAUAUUUUUAACUACAGUUAAGUCAUUAGUCACUACUUCUUAGGCAUAGACAAGAGAACAGUUGCAUCUACUGCUGUUCCAAAAUACUGUUCCUUCUGUAUUAUGAUAAACAUUUGCCUACAACUUUCAUUUAUGGAUAACUUUUUUCCCUGAUAAGCCAGCAAAACAGAUAUAUUAACAAUGCCUAUCAAAAAGAGUGCACCAGAGUACACAGGUUGUAUAUAAGGGCACCAAAAGGCAAGAUCAAAACAAAGAAAGUGAAAUACAAAACACAAAAAAUGACAAUCCCUCCUCAUACAUAGCACUAAACCAAUCGACUAAGUCUAUCAUAGACAUUGUUGCUCCAUUUAAGCCUACCCUCACCACUAUAAAACUAAACAUACGAAGGAGUAUUUUAGUGCUUGACCAUUUGUUACACAUCCUUGAAGGACUUAUUAUUUCUCUCCUAAACAGUCUAAAAAAUACAUAACAGGGCAAAACUCCAUGCUUUAUUUCUUCUCUCUCCCGCAAAGGAUCCUUGCCAACUUAAGUGGCCAUUUUAAUUGAAGUUGGCAUCACCCAUUCUAUCCUAAACAAUGAGAAGACUAGCUGCCACAUGAUUCUUGUUGUGAAAAGAGAGAAAAUGGAGAAUCCCUAAUUUUUGUUAUAAAUUAUACAUGCUAGUGGGACCCACAAUACAAUAAGGAAAAAAGAAAAGAAAAGUAAAUAACUGAAAUAACUAUACACUAUCUAACACUCCCCCUCAAGCUGGAGCAUAUAUGUUAUAUGCACCAAGCUUAUUACAAAUGUAUUUAAUUCUAGGACCUCUGAGAAAUUUAGUAAAAAUAUCUGCUAGUUGAUCAUUUGAAUUGACAAAACUAGUCGCCACACAUCCUGAUGCGAUCUUCUCUCUAAUGAAGUGACAGUCAAUUUCAAUGUGUUUGGUCCUUUCAUGGAAGAUUGGAUUGGAUGCAAAGCUGCUUGGUUGUCACAGAUGAGCUUCAUCUGUUCAUCAUUUCCAAAUCUCAACUCCCGAAGAAGAUGUUUCAGCCAUAUGGGUUCACAUGUUGCCAGAGCCAUAGCUCGAUACUCGGCUUUAGCACUAGAUCUGACCACUACAUCUUGUUUCUUACUCUUCCAGGAUAUUAGGUUACCUCCAAUAAAAACACAAUACUCGAAAGUGGAACGUCUAUCUGUGGGUGAGCUAGUCCAAUCUGCAUCUGUGUAACCAACAACAUGGGUAUGACCUCUGUUCCCGUACAACACACCUUGGCCUGGUGUGCUUUUGAUAUAUCGAAGAAUGCGGAUCACAACAUCCCAAUGGCUAUCACAUGGUAACUGUAGGAAUUGACUAACAACACUUACGGGAAAAGAAAUGUUUGGACGAGUAAUGGUGAGGUAGUUCAAUUUACCUACAAGUCGCCGAUAUCUCCUAGGAUCUCCUAAAGGCUCCCCCUGUCCUGGAAUAAGUUUGACAUUUGGAUCCAUAGGAGUGUCUACCGGUUUACAGUCUAAUAUACCGGCUUCUUCCAAGAUGUCUAAAGCAUACUUCCUUUGGGAAAGAACCACACUGGAACUGGAUUGAGCUAUCUCAAUCCCUAAGAAAUACUUGAAUUUUCUCAAGUCUUUAGUCUGAAAGUGGGUGAAAAGGUGUUGCUUUAGUUUCUUAAUAUCAUUUUGAUCACUGCCUGUAAUGACGAUGUCGUCCACAUAAACUACCAGAUAAAUACACUGCCCCGAAGAGUUAUGAUGAUAGAAAACGAAAUGGUCUGUUGUAUUGCGAAACAUGUCAAACUCCUGAACAACAGAACUAAAACGGCUAAACCAUACUCGAGGAGAUUGUUUCAAGCCAUAUAGAGAACGACGUAACCUACAUGCUAAACCAGACUUUCCCCUGAGCAACAAAACCAAGUGGUUGCUCCAUAUAAAUUUCCUCAGCAAGAUCCCCAUGAAGGAAUGCAUUUUUAAUAUCUAACUGAUAAAGAGGCCAAGAUGACAUAACAACCAUGGAGAGCAAUAAACGAACAAAAGCUAUCUUGGCAACAGGAGAGAAAGUGUCAUCAUAAUCAGAACCAUAAACCUGAGUAUGGCCUUUAGCAACUAAGCGGGCCUUAAGGCGAUCAACCUGACCAUCAGGGCUAACGUUAACUGUGUAGACCCAAUGACAAUCAACUGUAGAUUUACCAGAGGGUAAAACAAUAAGAUCCCAAGUGCCAUUGGAGUGUAAAGCAGCCAUUUCAUCUACCAUCGCCUGUCACCAGCCUGGAUGGGAAAGAGCCUCAGGGGUGCUCUUGAGAAGAGAAAUAGAAGAUAUAGCAUAAAUAAAUGCAGAAUAAGGUGAAGAUAAUCGAUGGUAACUCAAAAAAUUGUAAAUGAGAUGAGGAUUACGAGUAGAUCGAUUACCUUUUCGAAGAGCAAUGGAUAAGUUAGCAGAAGGAGGCAGAGUCGUGGCAGGAGAAGCCGAAGGGAUAGGAAAUGAGUCAGCGGGUACCUCGGCCAAUGAAGGAGGAAUAACGACACGAUGACGGCGAUGAUAAACUUGAAGUGGGCGACAAGGCACUGCAUCAGGUGGGGAGAUAAUGGGAAGGGGUAUGACUUCAGAAACAGGAAGAAACUCAGAGGUGGAGAAGAAUGGUGAGUCCUCAAAGAAUGUGACAUAAGCGGAGAAAAAGUAGCGAUGAGUCUUAGAGGAAUAACAACGAUAACCCUUUUGAAGUCUGGAGUAUCCUAAGAAGAUGCAUUUUGUGGCUUUGGCAGAAAGUUUGUCCUGUUCAGGAGUGAGAAUAUGAACAAAGCAAGUACAACCAAAAACACGAGGAGGAAAAAAAUAAAGUGGUUGGUCAGAGAAAAGAAGGGCUUGAGGAAUCUGAUCGUGUAAUAUAGAUGAGGGCAUACGAUUAAUCAAAUAACAUGCUGUAAGAAUAACGUCCCCCCAAAAACGAAAAGGAACAUUACUAUGGAGAAGGAGAGUACGAGCUGUCUCAACAAGAUGUCGAUUCUUACAUUCAGCUACCCUAUUUUGUUGAGGAGUAUGAGCACAAGAAGACUGAUGAAGGAUCCCAUGUUGGGACAUAAAUGAAGUAAAUGGUGCAGAAAAAUAUUCCCUGACAUUGUCACUGCGUAACACACGAAUAGAAAUAUUGAACUGAGUUUGGAUUUCAACAUAAGAUUUCUGGAAAAUAGAGAAUAACUCAGCUCGAUUUUUCAUUAAAAAUAACCAAGUACAUCGAGAAUAGUCAUCAAUGAAAGUGACAAAAUAUUGAAAUCUUAAAGUAGACGCGAUUCGACAAGGACCCCAAACAUCAGUGUGGACAAGUUCAAAAGGAGAUUUUGCCCGAUUAUUCAAACGCUUUGGGAACGAGACACGAGUAUGUUUCCCAAGCUAACAUGACUCACACGCAAGUGACGACAAAGAUGAAAAACGAGGGACCAUUUUCUGGAACUUGGAUAGACUAGGGUGGCCUAGGCGAUUGUGGAUGAGGAGGGGAGCAUCAGUGGAAAUGCAAACUGCAGGAGUUGAAGGCGAGGUGAGGUGAUAGAGGCCUUGAGACUCAUGUCCUAUGCCAAUCAUCUUCCCUGUACUCCGGUCCUGCAAGGUCACAAAUUUAUCAGAAAAAGUAAUAGAGCAGUUAAGAGUACGAGUGAUUUAGCCACAGUUUGAGAACCAUUAGUUAAGGUAACAGUAGGUAAGGCAGAGGUAGUAGUAAUAGAAGAGAAAAGAUCCUUAUUACCGGAUAUGUGAUAAGAAGCGCCAGAAUCUAGAAUCCAAGGUCCAAGAGAAGAUGUGUGGGUAAGAUAAGUAGAAGCAUUACCAGUUUGGGCAACAGAAGUAAUAGAAGCUGACUUGGUGGCCUGAUAGCGGAGAUAGUCAUCAUACUCACUGUCAGUGAGAGAAAUACCCUGAGAUGUGGAGGAGCUGGGAGGCUGAGGCGGCUGAGGAUCAGAUGACUGGGCUACGUGGACAGUGCGGGGAGGCCGCCCAUGUAACUGAUAACACCGAUCACAAGUGUGGCCAAGGUUAUUGCAAUAGGUGCAAUGAGGACAUUGACCUUUACCUCGGUUACCACUGCGUCCUCCUCGAGAGUUAGUUUGAGAAACUAACAUAGAAGAAUCUGAAGUGUUAUCAGCUGGCAAAGUCUGAGUGGAGGAGAUACAAAGAAGGCGAACAAACACAUCAUCUAAGGAUGGAACGGAGGAAUUGCCAAGAAUCUGACCACGGACGGUCUCAAGAUCUGGAUGGAGGCUAAUAAGCGUAAGAACCAUGAAGAACUUGUCAAUUUGUAUUCGUUGGUCCCCAACAUCAAUAGUAAGAGGCAUCACGAUCAAGAAUUCCUCCUUACGAGAGGCAAUCUGGCCAAUAUAAGUAGAUAAAUCCAUGUCUUGUUGUCUGACAUUGACAAUAGAAGAAGCCACCUUAUAAAGACGUUGGAUAUCAUUCGUGUAUAGCCUUUUCGCCUGAUUCCAAAAUUUAAAGCAUGUUUUGUAAGCCCAAUGAUGAAGCAGAAUCUUAGGAUCAACUGAUUACCAUAACACAUUACAUAACUGUACAUCUUAUCUUCCUCUAUUGUACUCUAUCAACCUCAGGGAUAUCCGCCUCUUGCGUAACAAGGUGAUCCUCAUAACCUUGACUCAUAAACCAAAGCUCCAUAGAGGCAGACCAGGACAAAUAAUUUUCACUGGCAACCAAUUUCUCUGAAGUAAUCAUAGGAGAUCCAGAUAUAAUAGAGGAAAAAAUGGAACUUUUAGUAGCCAUAUCUACUUAUUUGGAGAAGGAAAUAUGUUUGGAUCGAAGAGAGCCCUAAUACGGCUUCAAAUUGCGGUUCCUAAGACACGUGCAGGGCUCGAGAUGGAGAGAAAGUCACUGGAGGUCACCGGAAAGGCCGUUUAGAGGGCCGGCAGAGACAAAAACCCAAAAAAAUGCACUUGUAGGGCUCGGAUGGCACAAACACAGAUGGAGAGUGGCUAGACGGCGUCAGGCGAGGCUGGAGGUGGAAGCGCGUUGCCGGAAAGUGCUCCACGCGCCCUCACACGCCGGUGCGUGACUGAGAUUCUCCCUCCGGUGCUUUGACAAAACUUGAAGAUCUCCUCCUUGCGCACCUAAUGGUAUGGUCGGUGUUGGAAAAGGACUUCGCCGGAAAAUUCGCCGGCGGUGAGGGUUUUCUAACGGCGAUACGGUUGAUCGGAAAGCUUUAGGAGAUGGGGAAGGUGACUGGAAUGAAACACAGUCACUGAAAGGUUUCCUAGAAUUGAUUCACGGAUAAACCGGAAAUAAUUAGGUUUUUUUUCUCCCUACGCUCUGAUACCAUGUGAAAAGAGAUAAAAGGGAGAAUCCCUAAUUUUUGUUAUUAAAAACUAUUAAUAAUACACAUUGGAUUUGGGUAUAUAUAUACAUGCUAGUGGGACCCACAAUACAAUAAGGAAAAAAAGGAAAAGUAAAUAACUGAAAUAACUAUAUACUAUCUAACACUUGUUUUGGUACGAUGAAGCAAAAGAUGGUCCAUUGAUUAUUUCUCAUCUUUACACAAGAAACAUUUUUUCAACAUGGUCCAACCCUUAUUUUUUAGCUGAUUUUGGUGAGGAUCCUACCCUAAGUUGCAUUUCAAGCAAAAAAUUCUCAUUUUUGUAGGCAACUAAAAGCCUACAUGGCCAGGACAAACAAUUAAAGGGAAAAAGGAUCUCCCUGUUUCAAACCCUUUGAGCUCUACAAGAAAUAGUGGGAUCCCAUUUACAAGGACUGAGAAUCUAGUUGAGGAAAUGCAACAUUUUAUCCUACCUAUUCACUUCUGACCAAAGCCCACCCUUUCCACAAUAGUAAUAAGGAAAGCUCCUCUCAUCCUUCUCUUGUACCUUUAUUAUUAUCAAUAUAUAUUUUGUUUCUGAUAAAAAAAAAUGUAAUGUUUUUUAUCGUUUGAUAUGCAAUCCAAGUUAAUAAAGUCCAAUUAACAUGAUUAUAGGCCUUUGAUGUCAAGCUUACAAAGAACACCACUGGCUAAACUCUUUAGUCUUGAGUAUUUGACCUCAUUUGCAAUAAGGAUUGCGUCCAAAAUCUCUCUCCCCUGUGCAAAGGCAUGUUGAGACUUGGACACAACCUUUCCCACAAACUUUCUAAUUCUAUUAGCCAAAACCUUUGCUGAGAUCUUAUACAAAUAUCCCAUCAAGUUAAUGAGUCUGAAGUCUUUCAAGUCUUUUGAACCCUCUUUAUCAAGGAUUAAUGCUAUAAAUGUGACAUUUAGACUUCUUUCAAAGGUACCUUGCUCAUAAAACUCCUUGAAAAAUCCCAACACUUAUAUUUCACAAAAUCUCACUAAAAGCCAAAGUAAAGUCGUUCUACCUGGGGGCAAAGCCCCCACACAAACUGGUUAAAGCCAAGAAAACUUCCUCUUCAGAAAAAGGAUCCUCUAACCUCCUUGAAUCACCACUUUCCAAAGGGGUGAAGGACAAGCCCUUGAUGCUAGGACAUCAAUCCCUUGAUUUAGACAGAAGGCUUUGAUAGGCAUUAGAUGCCCUUUCCUUAAUAUCUGAUUCCUUUGUCAGCCAAACAUCAUUCACCCUAAGGCUCUGGCCAUGGGGUUCUUUGUCCUUCGUGCAUUAGCUAUCGUAUGAAAAGAACCUAGUGUUUUUAUCCCCUUCUUUCAACCAUAGUUCUCUGGUUUUUUCUCUCCAGCAGGUUUCUUCCAACCUGUCCCAGUUGUUGUAAUCACCCAAAGCCGCUUUUCUAGCCUCAGCCUCAUCAACAGACAGGACCCCUUAUGUCUCCUUCAUGUCCCAAAAAUUAAUCUGAUUCAGGGUCCUUACUCUUCAAAUAGUGACAUUCCCAAACACUUCUUUGUUCCGUACCUUGAGAUUAUGUUUUAGGUCUUUCAACUUAAAGGCCAAAAUGUGACUAAAGGGGCCUCUGACAUCAUAAUCCAUCCACCAUCUUGUUAUAAGCUCUGCAUCCAACUACCCUCCAUUUGGAAGAUCUGAUACUGGCUUUUGGCUGUAGCAAACCACUGAAGUGAUCUUCCCAAUCUUCAUAUACAGGCAACUUCAUUUUUACAUUGUUAUUUCUGCUUUACAUCGAACAUUUGGCUAGAACUUUCAUUCUGCAUUAACUUCCAAUUUUAUCACUUACUUUGAGAUCAAUGAAAUUUAAGUUUGGAUAAAUGAAAUUAUGAGAUUAUCAUUAUGAAAAAGGCCGAAUUCUUGAGACCAAAUUUUAAUGUUGCAUUAGUUCUACCCAAGAUUGUGUUUGAGACAAACCUUCAUAUAAGACAAAGUAGCUGAUUACCCAGUAAAAAUGAUCUGAAAACCCCAUUAACUAAAUUAUAUAUUGUUCAACCCCAAAUAAUAACAAACAUGUACCCAAUGAAACCCAUGACACUGGCAUCAACCUCCAUACAAAAUUUGUAAUUAGAGAGUGCUUCUGCUGUUAUGAAUUAAUCAUGGCCAUUCAUCAUUACCCCCUGGUAGAGAAGUUUUCCUUUUGGUCCAAAAGAUGAACAGUUCCUUGACAUAAGAUAAUUGUGGUGGGUUCAGAUUUUGACCUUUUUUUGGUUAAACUAAAAAUUAACUAGGCAUGAUAGCAUCUCGAGGAAGAUCUCCCAAUCAUAGUCGAUUAUUCUUAAGAAGUCUCUAGAAAAAUCCUCAAAGCAAAUCGCCACUUGUUCCAUCAAGUACUCCAUUUUAUUAAUAUUAUCAGCAGCUUUCUAUUCUUCCAUAUGAAUAUGCCUUAUUUUAAUUUAAGAAUAAUUUUUUCUAAAUAGUCUUUUAGCAAUUCUUUAAUAUGUCUUUAGGGACGGUAAAGUUUGUUCUAAAAUAUGUUGCCACUUCUUUUGGUUAGAUUGUCCCUCAUAUAUAUAUUCUUCAAUUUUCAUAUUUUUCUUUAAAUUUAGUGUUUUAUUUUUUAUUUUUUCUGAAUUGUUAGUAAGAGAACUUUGGGAAGUUGUUUUCUCAUUUCUAAAUAUUCUUUAAUAUAAUACUUUCAUUAUGAAACAACUCCUUACACAGCAUGCACCUAGAAUACCACUGAAGCCUCAGUGUUUUUAAAAUUAUGGCUAGUGUCUGUGCUUGAAAAUGGUCCCUUUUUAUUGUAAGGAUUUAAAGUGUGCAGAAAGACAUGUUUUAAGUUCUAUUAUUUUUUUGAAGAAAAGAAGGAAGAGAUUUAGGCAGCAUUGAGGAUGCCUUUCUGUAAGGAGCAAUGACGUGAAAUACAUGCAUUUGGCGCCUUUUUUUUCUUCUUCGUUGUCUGCUUCUUCUUCUUCUUUUUUUUUUUUUUUUUAAAACUAAUAUUUAUUGGGUGGACCCGUGGUUUGAAUGAAACACUGGUUUCCUAUUCUUUGUUGCUUAUGGAUUUUGAGUAUUAUUUGAUGGAUAAAGAAAAUGUGUCUGGCUUACCAGGAUUUACCACAAGAGCAAGGCCAGGUUCUGCCUUCAGAUUUGUCCAAACUUCAACACCGGGUUCUGAAGGCAGAAGCAACAUUGGGGCAAAAGGAAGAAGAAAAUGCUGCAUUGCGAGAGCAGCUAAAACAAUCUGAGGCAAAGUGGUCAGAGUAUGAGGCAAAGAUGAAAGCAAUGGAGGAGACCUGGCAAAAACAGAUGGCUUCUUUGCAGGUGAGUUUACAUGUUUAUGAAAAAAUGAUAAUGAUGCAUGAAAGCAGUUAAGGAAAACUGUGAGAGCAAAAAAUUCAAACCAAAUUUAUUCAUCUGAACUGAUCAUGGAUGGGUGCAUCAAAACUGGACCUCGAUCUUAUUUGGAUGCUAAUGUAGCUCAAUUUUGAAUCAAAAUGGAAACAGAAAUCCUGUAUCAAAUGGGUUUCUUGGUGCUUGUCUAAAGUUAGCUGUUAGUAAACCAGCAAGGUUGAAACCAAUGGACACAUUUUUUUAACCAAUGGUUGUGCGGUAGGCACUUUGGUACCAUUAUAUGACAUGAUUUUUAUUUAUCAGAUGUUGGCUUCAGAUCCCUUUUCUAAUAUUGACAUUUUGUGGCUUUACCAUGAUUAAAAUGGUACCAUUAUGUGUCUUUAUUUUAUUUUUUUACCGUUUUUACGUAAUUUUAUGCAUGUUUGUGGAUUUCUCAUGUUGAAUCAAAUUACUUGCAUCUCUGAGGAGUUCAAUUGUGAUACUAAUACAGAUGAGUCUGGCUGCUGCUAAGAAAAAUCAUGCUGCUGGUCAAGAUGGAAGGCUUGAUACACCUUCUUCGCCUGGCUAUUAUGAUUCUGAGGGUACCCCAUCCAUGGAAACUCGAACUCCUGGUGCAAACACACCUGUCAAAUUGUCUAAUGUUGGAGCAGGGCGCGAGAGUAAUGGCAACUUGAAUACAGUCAGCCACCUGGCAAAGGAGUUUGAGCAGCGCAAACAGUCAUUUGAUGAUGAUGCCAAAACCCUCGUUGAGGUUAAAUCUGGGCAACCCUCUUCAAAUAUGAAUCAUGAUGAAUUAAAGAAACUGAAGCAAAGGUUUGAGGCAUGGAAGAAAGAUUACAAGGUUCGGUUACGGGAGACAAAGGCUAGGCUUCAUAAGCUUGGGCAUUCUGAAGGGGAAAGAAUUCGCCGUAAAUGGUGGGGGAAGAGAAUCUCAAAAUCGACGUAGCAUCUAGUUUAGGAUAUGCGCAAUGUCUAUUGUUCGUGGACAAAAAUGGAGAUGACUGAAGCAUUCUUCUCAAAAAGGAUACAUUGUUGAGACCCCCUCAUACCAUGUUUCUGAGUCUGUCCGUCCUUGUGUUUAUGGGUUUACUGUGUUGUGGGGUUAGCAGAAAGGAGAGUGAUUGUGUUUGUAUAUCUAUCAAAUUUUGUUUCUCAGUGAAAAGAUUUACAAGCUUGUUCAUAGCCCAAUGAGGAUUUGUCUCAAGUUUUUAGCACGUAAUUAAACAAUUUGAGUCGUGUAUAUUUUCAUAAUCAAUGUAAUGUCAGAAUAUUUAGUGCUUCAUAGUUUGUAAUGAGAAGAUGGAAGAAAAAUGUCCAUAUUACGGCUUGUGUAUGAAGUGUUUGCCUUCACGGUGUAGUAGAUGAUCAUAGGAAUAUUUUUGUGACUGCAUAUCCAACUAAUUUAUCUUUCCUUCUAGAGCAGUUAGCAUUAUUUAUUAUGUUAAGCUUAAGCUUAAGAUGAAAGAUGUGUGCUUUCAAGAACCAAAGCUUCAAAGAUCUGUAUUCUUUUCGAGAAGAUGAAGCUUGCACCAACACUGCAGACUAGAUUGCUUUCUUCUUACAAGCUGCUUGAGAUUCAACUUUUUCCCUACCCCAAAAGCUAGGUUUUUCUGGAUUGGCAAUGAGUGAAUUAUUAUAUAUGUAGAUGCAUAAAUGGAUUCAUUUUAGGAGGAGAGAUUUUCAAUUAUUUAUUUAUUUAUUUUUUAAUCAAUUUGUUGGAUGAUCAGAAUGUGAAUAUGGUAAACAUAGUUAUUUGAAUCUUUUGUUUGAAUAGCGAUGACCCUCCAUGCUGGUUGAAUUCAAUUUAUGAGAUCCUGACAACAUUAUUGUUCUCUCUUGCAGGAGUUCACACCACAUUCCAGACACCUGAGGGUCCUGAAUGUCGAAACAGCAGGACUUACAAGAGUUUGAGAGUUAUUUCAUUUACCGGAAAAUGCAGUGUUCCAUCUGAAACAUAAAUUAUAAAUUAUAUUGAAUCUACUAACACAGAAUGUUCUGUUCUCAAUGAGUUUACACAAAACAGGUGAAGAAGCAAAGACCAGCAGUCUAAGAUCCAGGCACAAACUUGGUGGCGUAGACCCAUGCGUUAUUAGCAACUGGGUUGUCAAGGUGGUCCAAGAGGUUCUCAAGGGGGCCUUUUCCGGUCACAAUAGCUUGGACAAAGAAGCCAAACAUGGAGAACAUGGCUAGCCGUCCAUUCUUGAUUUCCUUGACCUUGAGCUCAGCAAAUGUGACCGGGUCAUCAGCGAGGCCAAGAGGAUCGAAGUAUUGUCCACCAGGGUACAGGUUGUUGCCAUCUCCAACUCCAGGAAGGCCAUUAAUGCGGAAGCCCUCAACAAGACCCAUGAGGACAACUUGGAAGCCGAGGACUGCCAGAAUGCUCUGGGCAUGAACAAGGUUGGGGUUGCCCAAGUAGUCCAGGCCGCCCUCGGAGAAGAUUUGAGCUCCAGCUUUGAACCAGAUUGGUUCUUUGAAGUCCACUCUAAGCCACUUCUCAAGGACUUCUGGGGUGAUGCAGCCCAGUGCUCCAAGCAUAGCCCAACGCCCGUGGAUCACCUAAAACCAUUUAUAGGAUCAAAGUAGCAUCAUUACCUUCAUAUUACAUUCUACAGACUGUUCAGAUUAAUCAGAAAGGGUUUGAGGAACAGGGGAGCAAAAUACUGAAAACAGCCUAGAAAGGAACCCUUUUCUAUUUCCAUGCAUAUAUUUUUAGGUUUUUUGCUUUCUUUUACUUGGUUUUUCUAUUUUUGACAUCAUAAUGGAGUAUAGCCACACGGCAAAAGAAGUUUGCUUCUGUGGGUUCUGGUUGUAUCAGAGUUCAUAAAGGCAUCCACCUCACAUUUUUAAGAAACAAAGCGAUGGUUCUUGUGAGCUUGAGUCUCUCAAGUAAAAAUGUUCUUUAGUAGGUUUUGCUUUAAACACCAAUUUUUCAGAUUUAUGGGGGCAAAUCCAUGUCCUUGGGAUUCAAAAGCUCUCUGAAAACAUCAUUUUUAGUAAAUUCUUGAUCAUCUUCACGGUAAACCAACUAGCAGUGAUGAAUUACCUCAAGAGCCCUGUUCCUGGCAAAGGCCUCAGGAUCAGCAGACAAUCCAGCGGUGUCCCAUCCAUAGUCUCCUGGAAAUUCUCCAGUCAGGUACGAGGGAGUCUGAGCUGAGAAGGGUCCCAAAUACUUCACUCUGUCAGGUCCAUACCACAGCUCAUUCCCCUACCCAAUUCACAACCCAAAAAAACAAACACCCAUUUCAGUUAUUCAACCCAUAACACAACACACACACAAAACCAAACUUCGAGAGGGUGUAUGUGUCUUUACCAUGGUGUAUUUCCCAGUUCCCAUAGGGACAACAUCUCUAAGAGGGUUAGAGUUUGCUCCCCUGGUUUGGCCCAGAAAUGGGGUUGGUCUGAGGACAGUGCUGGAGCUUGCUGUUGCUGCCAUCAACAUUGCUGCCUCCACUUCCUUUCUCCCUUUUCCUUUCUGUGUUGGAGCUGUGUUUUUCUGAAGAGAAAGUGUGUACAAGGGAAGCCGAGUGUAUAUGUGAAUGUGGAGGAACCAAGAAUCAGAGAUGGGUGGUUAGGAAUGCAAGAGUGGGAAAUUGUGGUGGGGAUUCUGAGGUUUGAACCAACCAAUCAGAUGGCUUUUAAGGAUUCUAUGUAUCUCAUACCCAUAUCCUUCUAUCCACAUUUUAUCUUUUGUCCCACAGAUUGGAAAAAUGAAAAAUCACCCACGGAUAACUUUCCUCAAUUGACUGAAAAAAAAAUUAACUUCUUGGGUGAAAAUUUAAGCAUUUUUUGGAUUCAUUAGUCUAAGAAAUCCCAACUGUUAUGGUAUGUGGAUUGUGGAGCUAGUGGAUUGGAUUUCAGAGGUUUGGCCCAAUGGAAUGUGCUCUCUCUCAUCAAGCAUAGUCCCUAAUCAGGAUAUUCUCUUGUGCUAGGUAUAUGCCCAAAAAAGAAUAAAUGGACUUCACUGAAUAUCCAAAUUGCACUGUGAGUAAUCAAAUGGAGUAUAAUGCUUCAAUUUUAAACAAGCCCACAGGUGAUCUCUUUUUCUCCUUCAAGUUUAUCUACUAAGUACGUAAUAAUAUUUUUGAGGGCCAUCAUACAAAUCCGACCUUAGCUCAGUUGGUAGAGCGGAGGACUGUAGUGGGAUUCCCCAGAUAUCCUUAGGUCGCUGGUUCGAAUCCGGCAGGUCGGAAUCACUUUUUUUCCCUACGACCAAAAUGGACUGUUUCCACUUCUUUUCAAUAAAGAAUUAAGAUUACAGUUUAUGAACUAAAAAUUUAUCUGCAUGAGAUUUGAGAGUGAUGGAAAGAAUGCAGCUCGUAAAAAUAUUAAUCAUUAUAAACAACAAACGUAAGAAGGGUUUUUGGGGGGCAGAUUGAUCAGCUCAAAGUCUAAAACCCUUCUCACCAUUCCAAUUCUCAGUGCUAACUCAGCACUGAAUAUUAAAAGAGAUGAAUUACAUGCCUUUGUAUUUGUUUUACAGACAGUCACUGAAGUUGGUGGGUGAAGUCAGUUGUUCCUCUACUCUUAAGCAUUCUCUCCAAUAUGGAUCUUCACCUCCAUUUGCAAUAAUAUGCGCAAAGAAGAUGGUUUAAAGUUGAAUGAGGAGAGGGUGAGGACGACAUUUGGGAUAUUGAUAUUGUAAACUAAUAAAGUUUUAAAUAACUUGCUUCACAUCUCCGACCUUAGCUCAGUUGGUAGAGCGGAGGACUGUAGUGGGAUUGUCCCGAUUAGAUAUCCUUAGGUCGCUGGUUCGAAUCCGGCAGGUCGGAUGCUUUUUUUCAUUGGUCAUUUGUAGUAAAUCCGACACUCACUUGUGACCCUAACCUCAUUUCAAUAUUUUUGAAUUCUUUCAACGGUCGAAAAACUGAUGCUACGCUGUCACAUGGUAACACCAUAAAUCCUCUCAUCAACAUCGUACACGUGGGACGUGGCAAACAAGAAUGUAGACCCCAUUAUGUGAACGCAUAUCCCAAUAAAAAUAUUGAUUCAGCCAUUGGGGCUCCAUCAAAACUUGGUAUACCGUCCGCCCAGAUGCAAAUGGAAGAUUUAGAGCCUCUAGAACCCUCACAGAAUACAGAGAAUCUUCGGUGAGAAAAGGUUCAGCAGAGAAAAGAGUAAAUGGGUCUCAAGAAAACUGACGAUCACUGGGCUUUUCUGGUAUUCAUCUCUUUAUUACACACUUUAUUAGGAUCUAUGAGCGUAGAUUCUGGGUUUCUGUUUUUGCUUUCUUGCUGGGUUUUAUUUUUGAAUUUAGAAAUGGGGUUUUUAGGGUUUCUUGAAUUGGAAAUGAGUGGGUUCUCUGAUUUUGGUGGCCAAGUCGUUGUGGAUUAUAACAUUUCAGCAUCUGGGUUUUGUUUUGUUUUUUUGUUUGUUUUUGCUUUAUUGCAUUAGAAAUUAUGGGUGCCUUGAAUUUGAUUCUUCGGAUCUAUUCUGAGUGAGGGUGGAUAGGAUAGGAAAUGAUGGGUUUCUUGGUUUGAGUCAUCAAUUAUUCCAUGUGGCUGUUUCUGUAGUUCGUAUGAUUGUGUCAUUUCAACAUUUGGGUUCUCUUAUUGUUGUUGUUUAUUAGAUAGAAAUUAUGAAACAUCUUGAAUAUUGAUCAAGCAUUUGUUUCACUUUGGUGUAUAUGGGGCUGUAGCGUUCUUGCCAUGUGGUGAAUUAAAAAAUUAUGGUUUUCUUGAUUUUGGUUUGUUGGGUCUAUUUUUAAUCAUUGAAGCAGAAAAUAAUGUGGUAUCUUUUGAUUUAUGGUUCUGUUCUUAGACUGGGUCUUGCAUGGUUGAUUAAUUUCACCAUUUUAAUAUCUGGGUUGUCUUAUUCUUGGCACUUCCUCUGAUUCCUGGUUUUGUAGUUUUUGAAUGUUAUAUUCCAUACUCGAUUGUAAUAAUGUGAUUAUAGUCUAUUUUCCCCUUUGUUCUGUUCUGAUUUCCCAUAUCAUCUUACUGUUUCUACCCUUUCACAAUUGCCUUUUCAUCUGCUGAUUGAUAUACAGGAAGAAUUUGAAGCUCCUAUGUGGGCAGAUCUUACCCUAGAAGCUAAGACCAAUAACCAAGAUGUGUAAGUUUCUCCAAAACUGGUUCCCAGAUGCAAGAAAGUGAGUAUUUUCUUUUCAAUGAAAAAAAUGUGUUCCUUGACUCCUAUCAUAUUGUUCUUUUGCUAAAUUGCAGAGAUGACAAGUGGUUCCACAUAAGCCAUCCGUAAGCCUCUUUUUGUUCUCCACUUAUUGUUGCAGUUGUGAUAUGUCAGUUUUGGAAUUUCUGUUAUGCAAUCUCUUUACUUACCUGUCACUAAAUUGAUUUAAUUUUCAGGUUCCACCAGUUUUCCUCUCACCAGUUAAAAUCUGCAUUUUCUGGUUCCAGUGAGGGGAGUGAAAACUUGGACUUUGACUUACAUGGACCAUCUUCUCCUAAACUUCCUUCCUCAGUCUCUAGAUCAAGAGGCAAACACUAUAGGAGCAGAAACUGGGGAAAGGAAAAUGGUGGGUUUUCAUUAAAUAAGCAGCAUCCAGUCAAGAGUUUAAGUGGUAAAACUUCAUGGGUUGAUUCAGGCUCUAGCCAGGAAAUAAAACCAAAACCAAGCUGUGGAAACUUAAAGGGAACUUGCAGUUCAAAAACUAGUUUGGGUUGUGACAGCAGCUCAACUAGAACUUCCAUACCAAACUAUACCAUACCUAUAUCCAGUUUCGGAGAUUCAAAAGGUCGUUUGAGUUCUGUAGCAAUUAAGGCAAGUGAAAGCAAUUCAACAACAAGCACCGUUACAUUUGAAGGUACUCAUCAACAACCACAAAAGUCCUUGGAGGUAUCCAGUGGACCAUUUGGUCACACAAGUGGACUCUUGUCAGUUAUGAGGAUUACUCUUAGAAAGAGUUGUGCUACGAGACAAGCAUCAAGAGUGGAGAUCAAUAAAUGUCAGCAAUCAGAAGGAUGUAAAUCUUCUGCUGGCAAGUCCAGUGUGGGAUCGUCUUCAAAUCCUGGUUAUGAUGUUAAGGAUAGGACAGCUACAGAAAUACGGAACAGAGAUAGGACCCCAGAUAGUAGAAACGUAAUGCGAACUUCUCAAACGGCUGUGAACAGAGGAAGAGCCUCAACUACAUCUAAGGCAUCAAAUAUUCUAGUUGAUUAUAGGACUAAUAAUUCAAGAAAGGAAGGAAAAAGAAUUGUUGCGAAGUCAACCACCAAGGAUGCUGUGAAAUCAAAGGUGAGAAGACUGUAAAAAUCCAAUUGAGAACCAAAUUCUAACAAACUCCUGAACUGUACCUGACUUUUUGAUUAAACUAACGUAAAUCAGAUUAGUCACAAAGAUCAUUUGAUAAAUCCCCCAAUAACUUUACAACCAUUAUGCUUGGCUUUCUUGUAACUUAUCUAUGGUGUCUUUUGUCUUACCAAUUCUGUGAUUGUCCUGGCAAUUAGGCUUUGAACCAUGAUUAAUAAUGAGUUUCUACAUAUAUUUUGCAGGUUGUAUGUCAGACCAUAAACAGAAAAGGUUUGGUACCACUUAGAGUUAAUGAACAAGAUCCAUUGACGGCUGCUACAAAAGCUAAGAGCAAAGUGGGAGUUGGUGCAUCCAAUAGAUUGGCAGGUGGUGGGAAGGAAAAUGCAAGUGGGAAGCUAGCUGUGAGCCAGAAAUCUAGUGGCAGAGACAUAGCUGCCAGAGACAUAGUUAGGGGUCAGACAGGGAAGAAGCAGAGUAUAUCACGAAAGGGUGAUAAAACAGGAUUCACUGGUCCAAAGGUACAGAUGACAGGAAACCCUCUUUGGUAUAUUACAGUUCAAUGGAAAUUGAAAGACCAGAAUACUAGUCCAACAAAUCAUAAUUUUAAAAUGAAUUUGUUUUGAGCUAAUAGUGGAAACUACUUGGAUUCUAGUUACCAUAAACAUUUCCUGGGUAUGUAAUUGUCUGCGUUGUCCAUCUGGGAAAAGUAUUCUAAUCUCAUUGAUUCUUUAGUUUGAAUAACGCUUCCUGCAAUCCUGCGCAAUCUAUACUCUUCUUGUUGCCUUUAUUUCACCUGUUUGGGCCAAUGAACCAUUCUUAGGUUUAGUUGAUGCACUAAAACUAUUUUUACUGAUGGUGGAGGCACUUAAAUUUAUCCCAUGUAUAAUACCCAUGGUUUCCAGUUUAGACAUAAUGCUUAUAUCUUUCAUAUUUGAGUUAGACGAGGAACAGAGAAUUGUUUUCACAUAGGUCUUGUUCUGAAACUGUGGUUUUGUUUGAACCAUAGAUUUGUUUGUGCUCUGACCUUCACUUAACCAAAUCUCCCAGAUCAUUUUCGCUCACAAUACUGGUCUGAAAAUGAUGAACCAUUAUGCUUUUGGCUUUGUACAAUAGUUCCAAUAUAACUAUAGUAAAAUACGACAACCCUAGACCCUGUAUUUACCUGCAUACUGAUAAAUUGUCUAAAUAGUUUUUAAUAUUUAUGGUAUUUUCACUUGGACCUGAUUUUCUUGUUUACGUCUUUAUAAGCAGGGAAAAAUCAGUGGACGAAGUGAAGGAAAAACCUCAAUGAAUGUGCAUCAGAAGGUGUUCCUCCCAUAAGGGUGCAAUGCAGCAGCAUGUGUAUAUACAAACAUAAUUCUUUUUUUCUCCUUCCACCAAAGGGUGCAAUGCAGCAGCAUGUGUUCCUCCCCGUUUUUGUUCAAUCUGAUGGUAAACUUUGAUUGCUGUAGCUUGCAAUCUUUCUCUGACCCGGGGAACCAUUGCCCCCCACUGUCUUUGUGAAAUGUUCAACCCCUGUACUGGCUUUACUUGACACAUCCUUUGUAUAUAAACCUUCAAGCUAGUCAUGAGAGUGGAAUAGUUCAAGACUUCAAGCUGAGCCUGGUUUAAUUGGGAAUUGAGCUUGAGAUUAGCUCUCACCCUAGCCAAUUUUGAAGUCUGGAUUUUGUAGGUUUUUCAUUAUUCCAAUGUUAUACCCUAUUCGAAUGCUUAUAUUUCUUCAUUCCUCUAUCAGAAUACUUGAAUUUCACAUGCAUGAAGAGUUGUGCCAAAGGUUGGUUGAGGUUGGUUUGUUAGAAAUCAAGAUUAGAACUCAUUUCAUAUUGAAAACGAGACUUAUAACCAAAUAAACAUUGUUCUCAUUUCAACAGGAAAGGACUAUUUAGGGCUUGAACUCUUUUUCCUGUACGCCAAGGAUUCAAAACAUUGAGAUAAAUGUCUUGGGUGGAGAAACCUGCCCAACCCUGACAUGUGGAGGAUUUGGAGCUCUCCAAGGCACCUCCCCAUCAUGAGCAUGCCGGAACAUGAUAGUUGAACUCAAAGAAGAGUUCAAUGCACCUUUCGUCCAUCAAGAGUUCUAGUCUAAAAAGCAUUUAUUUAAACAAAAACAAAUUAAAAAAAUAAAAAUUCAGGUGUCUAAUAAAAUUUGAAAAAUAUUUUUAAAAAGUCGAAAAAUCGCUCACUUAUCCUCCUUCAGGCAAUUUUUUAGAAUUCUACUAAAAGAACUCGUGCUCGUCCCUUCUUAAAUAGACGAGUUUUCCAGGUUAUAAAUCACUUCUCCAGGUUGGCACAAUGUUUUUUGGGAGUACUCGUAGACUCAGCCCCAUGAGAAAGUUGGGACAAGUAAUUAAAAUUUCUGAAAGAGAUUGUUUGAGCCACAUUUCAAAAGUACAAAAAACUGCAAGACCUUUCUGCUAAAAUUCCAUUUGUCACCUGAUAGACGAUUAAUGAAAUGGCUAAUUAUGAUGUUGCCCUACCACUUCAAACCUCUGAGAGAUAAAACAGUCAAAUCAUUUAACUUCCAGUGGCCAUUUGAAUGGUGACCACAGUGGAGGACUCUGAAGCAACUGCAACCCACCUCUGUUCUGCAGAAAAUACUUCAGAGUUGGGUAACAUUGGAAAUCGGCAUCACCUACAUCUUUAUACGAUUACUUGUCCACUGUGCAACAUCCACCAACAACAAUGUGCAGAAGAUGAGCAUAAAGCUUCAGAUGCGUAAUGUACAUGUCUACAUCAAUUUGCCUCUGGGAAUUGGGAAAAAAGUGCAGCCUUAACCAAAGACAUUAAGUUUAUGGUUUUUUUGUUUCUUGUCCCAGAAUAUAUAGCUUAUCAUACUAUUUUCAUUGUGAGUUGAUACAUUAGAAUGGCUCAUCCCAAGGUUUGAUACAAAAACAUGUUGCCCCAACCAGCAUUUAUGAACUUUGGGGGCAUAGUUUACCUUCUUAGAGCACCAUAAUUCCUUGUUACCUACAAACAUGGAGAUAAGUAGUUAGGAUAGUUAUAUGCAGAUCAUAUGAAGUUGAAACACAUGUAAGGCUCGUCUUCAUUUCAUUUUAAUAACUAUUCUCAUGGGUUUUAAAGUAAACCUUUUACAUAUGCUACCAUAUGACCCAGGUUCAGUGGAAAUAUCACCUAAACACACAUACUCAGAGAGAGAGAAACAUAGACACACACAUGUAUGCACAACUCAAGUAAAGAUUGACGUGGUGGCUGUGGAUGUAAAAUAAAGAUCUGAGAAAUAAAAUAAAAUAAAAACCCUACAGCCAACUUUAAUAUGGUUAACGCAUAUUUAUGUAACCAUCUUAAAAACCUUUUCAUUUAUGUUAGAGUUUAUCUUAUUUUGUUACCUUAUGUUAAAGAGUAAUUUUACUUAUCGGUUACUAGGGGUUAUGUUUGCAAGGUUGGUUAAUAAUAUAAUAAGUGAAAAGAUAUAGGAAAGUCAAGUUCACAGAUUUUAUUUUUAACUAGGUAUUAGAGCAUUGAUGUGCUUAUUGUUGAUUAGGUAGAUCAUUCCCAAAAAAGAAUAAAAUGAACUCCAAUAAUAUUCAAAAGCUAAAUUUAGAAAAUGAAGAACAAUGAGCAUAAAAUGGCAUAGGUCUUCAUUCUUGGAACAAGCACCUAAAUAGGACAUUUCAGGAUAUAUGUUGAGGUCAACAUUGGCAAGGAAAGAGACUACUCAAAAGAACAAAAAUAAGACUGAGAUGAAUAUAACUUACCCGAGGCUGAGGCUUAUUUAAUCUCUUUGACAUGUCAUCCUCAUCAUCAUCAUCAUCAUCUUUGUUCAUAAGCAUUCUCUGAAUUGAAGUGGAAUCUGAUUUCCUUCCUCGCUUAGAGGAUGUAGUAGCACCUCUACCCCUUCCCCUUGGAGCAGCUCUUUUGCGUCCUUUGCCUUGGAGAUUCUCAUCAUUUUCCUUGAGAAGAAAUUUCUAAAUUAAUUCAGUCUAUGUUACAAGAAUGUCCACAUCUUUGCUCUUUCAAGAAGGAAAACACACUCAACAUAGAGGCAUGGCUACAUGGUUAACUUGAAUCAAAAUGAAUUAUGCAAAGGAUCUUGAUGCACUAAAUUUGAACCAGGUAAAGCUUUUCCUACCACAUUGUCUCAGAUUCUCAAUGAUAACAUAUAUGAAAUAAUUAAAGUCAUAAAUUAAAUUUUUUACUUUGAUUUCUAUGGUUGCGAAUUAUCAAAACUACUCAAUUUUUCAUGAUAAGCUGAGGUGCAAAAGGGAGUGCAUGUCUCAUCAUGGAAUUGGCUCAAUAGUAGUUGCCCAAGGUUGAAUCCAUACAUACUGAGAUGUUGAAGUGAAAAAACAACAAUGAGAGAGGUGCUUCUUAAGCCAAUAAUUGUUCAUUUGUUCACUUUUAAUGUGGUUGAAUGUAUUUAACUUGCAGGUCAUUAUAAAAACAGCCACUCAUAAGUUGAUGUAUUAAGUCAACAUAAAUCAUACCGAGCUGUCAUCAACCUCAUUAAUUCCAUAUUUCCCUGCUUCAUCGCUUGAACUGGACUCCACAUUGUCCUCAUCAUCAGCAAGGUUUCGAACAGCAGCUGUCGCAGCAACUGAUGCAGAUCUGCAGCAACAAACUUAUCUAAGAAACUUUGCUAGCAAGCAUGAAUAUCUUAACUUUUUGUUUAAUGCAAUAAAUAGCAAAAGGUACAGUAGGCUUCUGAUUUCAUACAUCUACACUUCCUCAAGGUCUGUUCUUUCAGAAACCAAAUAUUCUGUUAUGAGAAGAUGGUGUACAUUUGUGAACAAAAUGGUGUACAACUACACUUCCUCAAAGUCUGUUCUUUCAGAAGUCAUGGAUGUAAGCACUACUGAACUCCAUAAAUUUUCUUGUGUUUGCACUCUUGUUUUAUUUGUUUACUUUCCUGGUUAGGCCCAGGAAUUUUAUGUCCAACCUGAUGCACAUGUCAUGUAUUGAAUGCCAACAAGAAUUUUCAACCAUUAAUAGGAAAUUUACAAUGGUUACACAUUUCAUAAUAUUUUAUCCUGACAAUGACAAUAAUAAUUAGAACAACUUCUAAAGUGAACAUCAAGUUAUGGAAAUCUUGCAAGGAUAUCAAUACUUAUACAGGCUACAAAACAAGCAGAAUAAGCAAGAAAUUUAAUAUUCACUCAACAAAACAAAUCUCAACAAAAGAGAAUCAAUUCAUAUCAAUGAGAAAGCAGCAAGAGUGGCCAGAAAAUCCAUCAAAUGUGUGUACAAGUUUGGAAAGAGAAAUGAAACAGGAGGCGACAAAUCUCGUCCCCCCCUCUCCAGCUUAAAUUACUAUUUUAGUAUGUUGCCCUUUUUUGUUUCACAUCUUCUACUUGUAGUGAAUAUUAUUGUUGAUCUUUGAUUUUUUCAAAGAAAAAAGAUAGGAAAUUGUAGAUUGAACCAUCUUCAAAGCUCCCUUUACUUUCAAAUGGAUCCUAAACGAGCCUGGACUGUGAAUUAUGUCAUUUUAAUUUCAUAACAUUAAGCAGCUAUUAGGUAGAAAAGUCAGCCUACAGAGAUUAGCCAUUGCAAAAAUUAGCCUUACAUGUGAAUUAGACAAAAAUGAGCUGCUUUGGACUGUUAAAAGACCAAAAACCUGGCGUAUAACUAGAUUUCCUUAGAGAAUUAUUAAUAGACAAAUUCCAAAAAUUAAAAAAGGGCUCCAUGAACAUGACACUUUAUUGGAUCUGAGACAAUAUUCAGUAAGCUGAAAAUCAGCACAGUUAAUUAUAAUUGCAUACAGUAUAAUAGUGAUGGUCCAACUAGAUGUACUGCCAGUAUAUGUUUCUUAAUCUUUUACCUGAAAUUCAACAAAGAGGCUCAAACACCAUCCCUCUACCCCCUUCCAUGUUUGCAUGUGCACAUGCCGAAGAACAAAAGGAGGAAAAAUGAAAUGUGCCACACAAAAUAUCUUGUAUCUUUUAUAGUUGCCAAGUAAUGUGAGAUUUCAAGACUCAGGAUUUUCAAUGAGAAAAAAAAAUUCUGGAAAGAAACAAACAAUAUUAUUCUCAAUAGUAUUCACUUUAUUGUGAGAAAUCAAAAUGCUUGUAAUUUCCUGAAAGAACAGUAUCAGAAAUAUUAAUGAAUAAAUAAGCAACAAAGUAACCUUUCAGAAUGGCGGAAUCCCAGACUUGAAUCAAGUGUCAUCUGCUUCAAGGUACUGGAGCUCCUCCCCCUGCCCCUGCCCCUGCCCCUUCCUCUUGUAGAAGAUUUACCUUUACCUUGUUCAGAAGCAUCAUGGGAGGACUUAAAGGUUGCUGAUGACCCUUUUCUGCCCCUAGUGGCAGAUUUUGACCCAGAUAACUGGGUGGGGUCUUCAUCAUCACUAAAGGAAACUGCACUUCCAGUUUCAGCAGUACCUUUACUUCUGAUAUUCUACAAAAAAUUGAAAAAAGAAGAUUAGAAAGCAGAGAGUGGACAAAUAUUGAACAAGAAUGACAGGUAAGAAGGGAAAAAAAAUCCAGCCAUGGGGAUCACUUGUUCUGCUAAGAAAACUAGAAGAAUAAGCAUUACCUCCAAUGACCGAGCACUUGACAUGAACUGUGGGGUUUCCUUUGAGUGCACUGACCUUUCCUUGACCCGUUCCUGCAAUAGUUAUAUUUAGUUACCAUCAAAUUAUAUAUUUCCCAUAUAGGCAAGGUAUGCAGGCAGCAGGUUCACACCAAGUGUCAGUGAGAUGCCAAAUGCUACUUCUGCAAAGCAAUGUCCUAAAGGGGAAGGAAGAGUACAUGUAGAGAGAUUCCUUCUUUUACUCGGGAAGAAUUAAUCCUAACUACUCAAAAGGCAAAGAGUACAAUUAACUUUUAGAUUUAAAAUCACUGCUUAUAUACUUACUAAUGCCCAUAAUUUACGAUAACAUUCUAUAAUCUAGUAAGAUGGGGAAGGGUUAUGGCUUUACCCUGGUGUGAGAUAUCACAUUACUCGAGGAAUUCUAUACAAUGUCAGAAUAACGGAAACACCUUAUUUAUAGAUAAUACAACCUUAACAUCUUAGGUGAGAUUCUUUCAUUACUUUCUAAUAUAUACCAACAGUUAUUGAAGUGAUAUUACAAAUUAAGAAUUGGGCAAUCAUCCAAGGCCCCAAGGACAUUCAAGCCAAGGUGGCCAUUUUGAAAUGCCUGCUCUGCUAGACCCUAAUUAAAGUAGAAGAGCCCUCAGAAAGGGAAAAAAAUCACCUAGGAGACAAUUGGACAACACUAGGAAACCCUUAAAAUAAUUAAAAAAAAGGAAAGAAAUUCAAUAAGGAUAAGCUUCUUGCCUCCAAGCACUCUCCAACUUUAAGAAUUAAAUCUUCCUCUUCAAACUUUAAAGGAUCUGAAUCACGAGCAAUUUUACUCUGUCCAAAUAGAAAAACUGAUCAUGAACACACAAACAUAAUAUCUACAAACAUCAGAUAAAUCCACAAACAACUCAAAAUCAUCUGCAAUAUACUUACAAUUGUUAUAUUCAAACAAAUUCAAUACCAUAUAGAUGUGGUAUAACUAAAAACCAACCUAAACUAUCUGCAAUAUUGUCACAGAAAUUUGAAGACAUAAUAUGGAGUACUUACACGUGUCUCUUCCAGAUUAUAUUGAACACAAGAAUAGAAAGCCAUUUUGUCAUCUUUGUUGACAAAAUUGUGCAAUGCAACAUCCAAAUCAUUGACUGGAAGGAUCUCCAUUUUCUGCAUCAAUAAGUAUCAUUCUCAGGGACCCAGAAGUGAAAGAAAGAAAAGAUUAAAUAACUAUAUUGCUUCCGUUGUCACACCUGAAUGCCACUUAUCCAAGUCCUAUUUGAUCCAGUAAUUGGAAAAGAAUAGAAACUUCACUCCAGGACAGGACAAGUAGAACCAAGCUCAUAGAACUGAAGCCCAUGAUUUCAAUUAUUAGGUAAUAUUAAUGGUCUAUCAGGGUUCCACCGGAAUGAAAAUUACCAACUGAAGUGACAUAUAAAAGUUAAGAAAAGCAAAGAAAAGAUGAAACAUGAUGAUUUGAGUACCAGAUUAUUCUCAGCAACUAAGGCUUCUAUAUUUUGUUGAUUCAAUUCUUCUGGGCGAAGCCGCUCAGAGUCAUCAAUUUUGGCUACAGUCCAGGAAAGAAACCACAUUCAUUCCAUUUCCAUUUAAGGAGUGAAACCAAACAUCAUCAAAAAGGAAAAAUAAAUGGUAAAAAAUAAUUAGACUCUGUCAGAAAUACACUUGUAUCAAAGAACAAGAUAAUGUCAAAUGACAUCUAAUUUUUAGAGCAAAAACAGAACCUUUUCAAAAGUGAAAAACUUACCAUGCUCCAAUAUAGCCAAAAAGACUACAAUCAUAGUUUCCUAAACAAAGUAUAAACACUGUAUUGAAAAGAUAACCAAAACUUUGUGAUAUUCAAACUACAGUAGAUUUAGAGUACCAUUUGUUAUUAGUAGCAUGGAUCAUCAUCAUCAUCCAAACCCAUUCUAUUAUUAGAAUUUGACUAAUCCAUUUCAGUUGGGUGUAAAACCUAUUUUCAUUGAAAAGGAAGCUUGCCAAAACUGUAGCCAGUAGACCAAAAUGUUCUACAUGAACUCUAGCCCAAGUUAGUGCUUAUAUUGGAAACAAAAGUUUUAAGCUUUAAUUUCAGGGUCAGGCUUCAGUUGCUCCAACAAUGAACCUUGGCUUGAGUCUGGAUCGCCUUCUAAGUGAGCUUGAAUGAGUCCAUUACCAACCCAAACCCUAGCAACACAAAAAUCUUAGUUCAUUGCAGCCCCAGGAAAAUCAGUCUAUGUCCCAGCUCCCAAGGGAGGUACAACCAGCUAGUUUAGUUUGAUUUUAAAAACAAUUCAAUACACAAAGUUUAACUUCUAAAUAUAUUCGGGCUUGAACUUCAGCAAGUAGGCUAAUAUCCAUGCCAAAACUAUAAUUCACACCAUUGCAACAAGCAUUAGUUGAGAUCAUCAGUAUGUGGUUUUAGAUGGUACCUUAGAACUUUCUCACCAGGUUAUAUCAACUACCACCCCAAACAUGUUUUUGGAAAACAACAAUUAACAUUCAAAAUAACAUUGCAUAUUUAAGAAAGAGAGCAUUUUCAAAGAUUGGAAAUUUUAGUAUGCAAGUAAACACAAUAUACAUUGAUUUCUACAGGGUAACUAGGUAUAAGCAAAGUUUAGUCUAACCAAUGUAAAAUCAAAUACUCAAAACAAGAAAGUUACUAGCAGCCCAAUAACUGAUUUUAAUUACCUUCACUACGACCUUUUCUUGAAGCCUUUGUGAAAAUAAGAAUAUCUUGGGGAUUUGCAACCUACAAAAUCAAACAUAUCAAUUGUUUGUGAAUUAUGACAUUCUAGAGAAUCAACAUUAGCUUCCUUAUCCAUGAGGGAUAUACCUUGCCCACAUACUUUUGCCCAAACCUUUGAGGAUUUAUUGUCAUAAAUCCAGAGUAAUCUACCUGUUAAAUAAAAAAGAAAGGCUAAGGAUAAAAUUGUAUUUAAUGGUUACACACUCCACAAUGCCAUUGUUCUUAAAAGCUUGCAUCCCUUUACACAUCACAUCCUCCCACCCAAGGUAAAAGGCAUGUAAAUAAUGAAAAAUGUCACAACCAAAACCAGAAAGGAUCAACAUAAAAUGGAAUUGGGAAUCGAGUGAGACAAUGGGUUCUAGAUACAAGAAUGAAACAGCAUACCAGGACACAGUUAACGGGAGAUUCAAACAGGAGAGAAGCAUUGGAAAGCACAGGAGGAAAAAUCAUCCAUGACAACAAAGGAAUGUCAGAAGAAAAAGAUUAGCCUCAGAAUAUUUCUUUCUCAUAGAAAUUGUCAGGACCUUGUUUGACACUUGAGAUCUGUAACAUAACCUAGUAGAAAAGGAGCAAAACGCAUAACAAGCAAAAUGGGGUAGCAAGGGAGUGCACAAUAUUAUGUCUGUUUUUGAAAUGUCUAUUUGCACAAAGAGAGUGCCAUACAAGCCAAAGAGGAACCAACCCAAUUGAUGCAACAUCUGCAGACACAAACUACCUCCUUGGACCUAGACCAAGAGUGAUAAGCAGUGCAAUUGAUUCCUAUGCUUAACACUUAUUGCUUUCACGAGGAAUUACAAAAUAAUUUCAGAAAUAGGAUUAAAACAAACAGUUCUUGGCUUCAAUUUGAUACAUUUGACGAACACAUGAUUAUGCGUUCUCAGCUUGGAUCUUUGUGUUAUGUGCCUAAGGUGUGGCCAGUCAAUUAAUCAUCUUUUUUUAUAUUGGCCAAUGACUUUGUGCCUUUGGCAUAGAUUGGGUUCCUCCAAGGAAUGUAACCAGUAUGAUGAUUCAGGUUUGGGGAUACUCCAAGAGGAAGGGUAUUUUGGCAUGUGGCUUGCCUUACCUUGUUAUGGAUGGCUUGUAGGAAGAGGAAUGUGAUGAUUUUUGAGGAUAAAUGGAAGACCUUAGAAGUUGGUAUAUUUCCCCUCCUCCUAGGCUUCUACCUCUACAACUUUUGAGGGUACUCCUUUGAACAUUCUACACCUUGAUUGGAACAUGGUUUGCAGCAUGGUUUCUAAAGAUGUAAAACACAUUUAAGGUACCAAAUCAUCUUGGAGCCUAGGCGCAAGGAGCAACCCAAGGUGUGCACCUAAAUGAAGUGAGGUACCCUAAGUCACAAAUAUAAAUUCACACGAUACAAUAAAUAGAUAAAUAAAUAAUACAAAUGUAAAUACCAAAGAGGUGUUGUGACUCAUGAGUGUGCUAAGAGACAAAUUGAGAAAUUAAUAUCUUUAUUAAGAACUACCAGCACCAUGUGUGUAUCCUUCUUCUCUUCUUCUUCUUCCCUUUUUCUCCUUUUCUUUUCCAGCUCUCCUCUUAGCUUCUAUGAAGACCUAAUUUGGGCCCUUUGUUUAAAGGCUCCAUAUGAAAUGGUGUCAUUUUAGGCUUGUUAAAACACACACAAGGAUCAAAACAUCUUUUUGUGUGUGUGCGUGCACACACACAUUUAUAUAUACAUAUCCCAAAAAUGUUGUCAACUCAAUUGCACCUUCAGACAGCCUUGCGCUUGGCUCAAGGUGCAUGUCUUUUGGGCCUAGGUCAUACCUUUGUUAUUGAACAGCACCUAACCUCAAGCAAGGAGCACACUGGUCUGCGAUGUGCUGCCACAUGUCUAGAUGCACUUUUCAUGGCUAUGGUUUGCAGGUUAUGGGUUGCUUUCAAUAUAGACUUCACCUCCAAUGGGUUUGAUUAAGUUAAACUUUUUUUUUUCACAGUUAAGUUUGAUUAAGUUAAACUUUGAUGGGUGUGCUCUAGGUAACUUGAGGCUUGAGCUAGUUUGGAAUAUGAGGUUUGAUUAGAGAUCACCAUGGUACAAUGUUGAGAGCCUUUUCUAAACCUGCAGGACAGAGAUUGGCAAUGGAGACUGAGAUUAACUCUUAUCGAAGGGCUUAUUGUAGGCCAAGGCUUUUGGAUCUUCUCAAUUUGUUGAUAAAGCAGUAUUUUGUUUCACCCUUGAUCUGUAGCAAUCUUGCUGCUCUUGUUGGGUAUUUUCUCCUUUUUAUUAUCAUCCUUUGUAUUUUUUGAAGGAUUUCUCAUCUUCCCUUGCACUUAAAGAGUCAUGUCAAUAAAUUUUUUGUUUAUGAUAAAAAAAAAUGAAUGUAUGAUUAUGGAUGAUCCAAUAAAUUCAUUAGUUUACUUUUUUAACAGAACAAUUAUAUAUUUUUAGAAAAAUAACACAAGACUCCUUGAAAACAGUAAAUUGUAAUUCUCAGUAGUAACAAAUUAUGGCAGUUUACUGCAGAUGAAAACUUUGGGUCUCUCCUAUCUCUUAGUAGGAGAUUCUACUAUUGUCAUAUUAUAGGACAUUAAAAAGAAUGAGGACCAUGGAAGUUUUGAUAACAGGCAGCUGGUUGCACCAAAUUGUUCAAACUACUUCAGAGUUGGAUAAUUCCUUUGCUAGGUGCUUAGCUGAGCAAGUGGUAGAUGCAUUAGCAUGAAGCAAAACAUUUGCUUCUUUUUUUCUUCUUUUUUAUGUGAGAUUUUUUCCCUCCAUGAUUGUGAUCAGUGUUACUUUAAUUAUUUUUUAUUGUUCAAAUAUAUUUGCUUUUUUGGACUAGCAUACAUCUAGCUUCCUUUUUCUGAUCAAACUUUGUACAAUGGAUUCCAUACUGUAGAAAAAACUUCUCAUCUUUCUUUAUAUUUACUAUUUCAAUGCAAUCAAAUGAUCAAUUCUAAUUAAAUAAGUACUAAACUAGAAGGAUUUUUGUUUCUCUUUUUUUUUUAUUACUUCUCAUCACAAGGAAGACCAUUAUAUCCAUGGUUUCCUUCAACCUACAUGUUACAUUUAUAUAGUUCAUGAUAAGUAAGUUUUUCAUAUACUACUUCUGAUAUUCUUCAAAAACUAAAAAAUUCUCUAGUUGUCACUCUAUUGAACAUGAUUUGCACUUCCAAUUACGCAUCUUCACUUCCUAGAAACUGAAGCAUGGGCUGAACAAAAAUUAAAUCACUUCUUCAUCUUAACACUUAUAGUAAAUAUCUUGCUUUUAGGGAACCUGAGCCUGGAUUGACCCCUUAAACCAACAUUCAAAAUUUUGACAACAGAUUCAAUUUAAAACAACAUAGCUUAACAUGCUUGAAUGCUUCCUCCUUUCAAAUAUAUAUUUCAAAUGUGUAAUAUGAACUUUCAAACAACGUAUGCAGCUUCUAUAUUUCAUGAAAUUUCAAACAAUGUAUGUAUAUUUUGCAAGAUACAAGGUAAGGAUCACACUUGUAUGACAUGAAAUUUCUUCCUCCUGCAACACUUGUAAUCCUCACCUUUUCCCCAAGUAUAGAGUUUGUGAUCAUUUGCAUCAGGAAAUACCAUAGAAGGAUCCAACUCUUCAGUUUUUUCAAGUAAGAUAUUUUUUUGAUAAAUAAGCAAGCAAUAGAUUAAGAAGCGGCAAAAAGUCACAAGGCAUACAGGGAGUAUACACAGUAGCCUAAACCAACAAACACAAGCAACAAACAACCUCACCAACCCUUAAGUGGACGCUAGCCACUCCAAAAAGCCUAAGAGAGACAAGGGCUCCUCACCAAUGUACACCCGAGCCCAACUCCACAGAUUACAAACAAAAGAAUUUUUGAGUUUCUGAAUAGCUAAAGACCCCUCCUCCUAAAAGCUAACCUAUUCCUCUCCUUCCAAACCGUCCAAAAAAUACACAACGGGAUGGAAUUCCAAAUCUUUUUCCUUUUUUUCCCUACAAAAGGGUCCUUCCAACUGAACAACACCUCUUUAACUAUCUCUGGGGACACCCACGGAACCCCAAACAAGGCAAGUAUGAUCUCCCAAAGGACCCUGACCACUAUACAGUGUAAAAAAAUAUGAUUUACAGUUUCUUCUUCACAACCACACAAAAAACAACGAUUGGGGAGCUGCCAUCCCCAUUUUUGAAGCCUAUCCAGGGUGAGAAUCUUCCCCCAAGUGGCCUCUCAAGCAAAAAAAGCAGCUUUGGUUGGAGCCUUAUCCACCCAAAUGUUCUUUUUCGGGAAAGCGAAGUCAUUGGGAGCGACCAACAGAAUAUAAGCGUCCUUAACCCCAAAAAUACCACUUUCCCCACUUUUCCAAAAAACUGAAUCCUCCUUUGAAGAUAUCCUACAAUCCCUCAACAAACUCAGCAACUCCCCUAUCAAAUCUAACUCCCAAUUAUUAUAGUCUCUAGAAAAUCUGAGGUUCCACCCUCUUUGACCAAAGCUAGAGUCCCACACUUCAUUAACCGUUGCAUUCCUAUUGACCGCCAAAGUAUAUAACUAGGGGAAGAUUUGGGACAACGUUGCAUUGCCGCACCAAUGAUCAAUUCAGAACUUAAUUUUAGUCCCUUUACCCACUUUAAACUGGAAAUUAUCCCAACACCAGCAAACCUCCUUCAAAAUCUCCUUCCAAACCCCCACUUCAUACGUCCCACGAACCCCAUUAGGCCUCCACCCAAAACCCUCUUGGCCAUACUUCACCAACAACACCUUCUUCCAAAGAUUAUCCUUUUCAAUAGCAAAUCUCCAAACCCAUUUUCCCAGCAAGGCCUUGUUCAGAAGGAUAAUCUUCCUUAAGCCUAAACCACCCUUCUCCUUUUGAGCGCACACCACCUCCCAAUUGAUUAAGUGGACUUUCCUUUCCAAGUUUCCCCUUCCCCAAAAGAAGUCUCUUUGUAAUUUUUCCAGCCUUUUUGCUACAAUCUUGGGCAUUUGAAAAAGGGACAAUUGGUAAAUCGGCAUGCUGGCCAGCGUGCUCUUAAUAAGGGUGAUUCUCCCACCUUUGGAAAGAUAUUAGAAAAUAAAAAUAUAGAAGCUGCUUAUGUAUGUAUAAUUUUAUAUUUUUCUACUAAAUAUAUAACAGCAAAGAACACUUAAGAAAAAGAUAUUACAAAGUGACAUUUGCUCCAAAUGGGUAGAAGUACAGAAAAAUGAGAGAUCUUCAACUGUGAGAAUCAUCUUUCCUGUCAGAAUCAAGUUAAAUAAGCUGAAGAAGAUUACCUUUAUCCGGACUAGUGGAAGCUUGAGCUCUGAUCCAUUAACAAACUUUCCACUAGCUUUGUCAAUCAGGUUUCUGACCUAAAGAAAUUUCAACUUAUAAGAAAACAGUUGUUAUAAAGAAAGUAGCGUUCUGACCAAGAAUAUCACUUGCACAAGAAAAUAAAAGAAUUAAUAAAUUUGAGGGGUUGAAUAUUCCUUUGACAUUGUGAGAAAGAAAACACCUCACCACUUUGUCUAGAUGUUCAAGAAUUGAAGUUUGAUCAUUUGGAUCAAUGUCAGCUUCAUCCUUUAGCACAAUCUGCAUCACAAACAUCAAGUGAGUCAACAGAAAUAUUUUUAAAGAUGAAACAAAAUGACAAUGGCUUACCUCAGUGUAUUCAAAAGGCCUCACUGACUUCAAUGGGAUCUUGGUUGGGCGGUAUUGAUUUCCCUAUAUAAAUCAUACUUGAAUCACACACAAUAUGGGAAUUAAAAGGAUCAACCAAAACUGUAUGUCAAAACAUGAAUGAUUUAUGCAGGAAUUUGCUGAAAAACAACCUUAAUUUCUAAAAGUAGUACAUGCUUCGGCUUUGACUCUCCAUCAAUCAGUGAUGUUGCAAUGGAAGAGCCUGGUUGGGUAAUGUGGAAACCCAUACCUGCAACCUCCUGUUCAAAGCAAAACGACCUCCAAUGAGAUACUGUAGCAAAAGUAAAGUCAUGAGUUAUAGAAAAAAACAAAUAAAUAUUUGGUGCCACCUGAGGAUCAACAAGACAUUCAUGUUCAUGCCCCCACACUAUGAAGUCUAGGAACCUUGGUAAAAAAUGCUCACUGAUUGCAUUUUUAGGAUUUGUCUUUACUCUGCAGACCAUGAAAGAAGUUAAGUUUGAUUAUCGCAUACCUUUUUUUUUUUUGAUUGAAAACGACACAAAGAUAUAUUGAUAGAAAAAGAAGUACAAGAAGAAGGAUGAGAAAUCCUCCUGCCAAAGACAACUAAAUUACAGGAAAAUACACAGAAAACAAACAAUCUCCCUAUAAGGACCAAUCCUUAUGGAGUACACACCGCUAUCCAAUCAAGUUGAAUCACAUUAAGGGGAGUCUCCUUAAAUGCCUUGGAACAGAAAGCCCAAAGAGAAGCAAGGAAAACAAUAAAGUCCCAAAGAAAUUCUGAAUUCCUUGCUUUAUGUAAAUGCCCAAUAGCUAGAGACUUUGAUAAUGUCACAAUAAUUCAAGAUCUUUUCUCUUUGAGCAUGAUCUAAUAGAAUCUCAGAGAAAAAAGUACAACCUGUUUUGAUGAAGUACCAAAAUGUUGAACCAGUCUGACACUUGACACCCUUCUUGAGCUUCGGGCUGCAUCCAUUGCACAGCAUGUGGUGUCUAAGAUUAAAAAGACAAACCCAACAAACAUGUGAGUACCAUGGUGUCAAAGGUUGACCACUGAAAUGCAACUGUUCCAACAUAAAUUACCUGAAACAUCCUAUUGAGGCGUUCAUCUCGAAUAUUCCCAAGACCAUAGAGAGCCACAAGCGUUGAACCCUGCCAAAAAGAAAUAUAAGUCAUACUAUAAAGAAAUUAAUAACUAGCCCAAACCUUCUAAGAAUAAAGUAUUGUGACACACCUUCCUAAUAAGAAUAGGGUAGAGAGUGAUUUGACCAACACCAGAACCUCCAAGAACCAUUUUCCCAAAAUAGUUCACCAGAUUGCAUGCCGAAAGAAUAUCAACAGCAGAAAGGUUGUCCUGUCACCACAGUAAGGACCAAAACACUAAUGGUACUAACACAUCCCAAAAAACCAGUCUUAAGAAAACUGGAGGAUAUAUAUAUAUUAGGUAAAAACAGGAAAGUAUAUAUAAAAAGAAAAUUGGUGAAUAUCCAUUACAUCUAAGAACUAAUAACAAACACACAAACAAAAGAAAAAAAAUAAUAAAACAAGAAGGUUCAACUGCUUCAGUCAAGAAAUCUAGCAGGUAUUGAUAUUUGUCAUAGGUGCUGCCAGUGCAAAAAAAGCAACUUAAACUGUCAGUCCAAGGCGGGAACAGGGAAUUGUGCCCAGUUGCUUCUGAUGGAAAAAUGAAGGGUUCUUAAACCAGCAAUCAAGGAAGUAGAGAAUUCCAUUCAUUUACAGGACAUGAUCAUCAGUAGCCAUAUAUCAACUUUAUGAUUCAUUCAGGACAACCAGGGUGUGAUCUUGAAAGAACCACCUGAAUACACUAGAUCUCAUCUUAGAAAGCAAAGUAUACAACAGAGAAAACAGCAAUGGGAACCUCUACUAUGGAGCUCCUACCACUCACAAAGCGUUACAAUAUUGCAUAACACUUCCAAUAUUUGGCAAACUAAAUAUUCUUGACUUUAAUCAACUAAAAAAAGAAAAAGGAAAAGAAAAAUCUUUAUGCUCCAUUUGGAUCAUGGAAAGCAUUAGGGAAAGGAAAAGGCAUAGGAAGGAAUCCCAAAUCCUCUUGCUUGAUUUACCAUGGGAUGUUUGAAAGGAAAAUGAAAUAUAAUGAAAAUUAUUUUAAAAUGUAUGCAUUUUAAAAUACUUUAUUAUUUAUUAGAGGAGAAAAAGAAAAAAAAUCGAUUUGGUGAAGCAUAUGCACAUUUUAUUGAAUCUAAACCUAUUUCCUAUAUUUCCUUACUUUUCCUUUCCUUCCAUUUUCCCUCCAUUUUCUUUCCCUCAAGCUUGCCAAGCUCUAAAUGGAGCCUAAGAAAAAAAAAAAAUCUAUUUUCAUCACUGGAAUUGCCUCACAUAUAGACUAUUUUUUGAUAAGUAAGAAAAGUAUUGUAUUAUGGGGAGGCGCUAAAAUAGCGACUCAAAAUGUAUAGAACAGAAAGGGAAAUACUCACCCCCUAACAAUUGAAACAAAAAACUGUCCACAAUGAUAUACAAAAAAUAAAAAUAAAAACAACCCCUCCCUUAAUAGGAACCCACCCAAUCAAUAAACUCCAAAAAGGUUAAUGGACCAUCUUUUAUAAACAGUUUAGUCUCCGAACAAAGUGAGUUAAGAAAAUAAGUUUUCAGCCUUUGGAUGGACAACACCUCAUCUUCAAAGGCAAUUCUAUUCCUUAUCUUCCAAACUGUCCAAAAAAUGCAAAGAGGACUCACUUUCCAAACUAUCUUACACCUUUUUUCCACAAAGAAUCUAUUCCAACCCAAUAGGGUUUCCCUAACCGAAGACGGAAACACCUGAUAGGGUUUCACAUAUAGACUAUAAUACUAUCAGACUCAAUAUGUUGCUAAACAAUAACAGUUAAAUCCUACUCCAUAAUUAUUCCUUUUAUUUUAAGUAAUGCUUUAUUGCACUCUGCCAAAGAACAAUCACCGAUUAAGCCAUAAGUGAUCCUCUUGAAAGUGAAAAACCCCUAAAAAGGACAAAGCUAAAUAGAAAAAAAUAUCAGCAAUACAACGCCCAUUUUUAAGAAAUGAAGUAGCAUCAUAAUCAUGGUCCAAUCCAUGGCAGAGCAAAUUCUAUAUUUGGGUGUGCUUAUGACGUCUAGAGAGAUCACACUACACCUCAAUUUGACAUUCAUUAUCUUCUAAAUGCAUCACAUGACAGAAUACUAAAAUAGAAAGUUGAAAUCCAAAAAAAAAAUUCAGAGGAACCAUGACAGACUUAACAACUCAUGGUCAAAAUAUACAAAGAGAAACAAAAUUUACAGCAGUUUACCAUAUGAACCAUACCACUCCAGCAGGAUCAUCAUGAUUUCCAUGAAUACUAAAAACUGGCAAGCCGACAUUGAAGUGAGGAUCUUCAUAAUUCACAUGACCAAAUCUGUCCAGAGUGACAUGACAUUAUGAAUUGAAGACAGCUAUAGAUAUACACAGCAAGAACAGGAAACAGCUUUUGUGAAUUUUUUUUUUUCUUGCAUACAAGUGUAAGGUCUAAAAAAUAAAAGAUGAAUAAAAAUUAUUUUAAGGAAAUAGAAAUACGUUAGCAUAUAGUUAAUCUAGAAUGAAAUGAUUAAAAAAAUGGUUUCAUACUUAAACAACUUAUUUCCUUAAAGUGUCAAAUAUGACCAUUGUGUGAAUAGUUGGAAUGUUGUCAUAGGAUAGCAUGGUUUUGCAAUAAAGAUUCAAGAAACAUGACUUGGUCAGGAAAAACUAAGUUUUUCUUGAAGUCAUGACAUGAACACUGCUUGGGAUAAAGGGAUCAAAACAAACAAAGAAACAGAAAUAUUGUUGAAGUAUCCAUUUUAAUCAAAUAAAGUGAAAAGUAUGAAUGCUUUCAUUAGCAUAAUGUUUAUCAAGAGCAUAAUGUGUCAAUACAUGUUUGCGAAGUUCACAGUCUGAUCACUGACAACUUCAAACUGCACCGGACGAUCAUUGAGGGUAUAACGACGGAGGAUCUCAAUGGUC